rnacentral:lncRNA from 1 species
UGAAAGAGUUGAGGUUAUGGCUGAAAGCAAAGAUAAGUGGGAUAUGCAAUGUUGUUGGUAGCUACUAGUAUGGUCACCACAACUUAGUUGUGUUGUAAUGCAACUUUGUUGUAAUGUAACUUUGUUGUUUGUAGUGUGGAUAAGAGCUAUAGAAGCUCACUUGUGUACACCUUUAAUAAAACAUGCAUUUUCGAUGUUUUUAUCUUAUCUGCCUACGAAAAGUUUACGGUUAUUAUUUUUACAUUAUAUUUUAAUUAUCUUUCUCGUCCCCAAAAGUUAUCUUAUAGAUUGAACUUGUCUAAGUUUCGUAUAACUUCUUCAACAUUCACUCUCACGCCUAAAUUCAAAUUUCUACAUUUCAGUCUUUGGCGAAGAUAUCGCAUAUUUAUUCAUUAACAAAUUUAAAAAUUUACAUUGUAUAAAACUCCGUAACUCAAAUACAAUUUCAAUAUCCGUCCUAAAGCCAAACAUAGACAUGCGUUUAAUUCUUACACUGCAAUCCUUAAUCCGACUCUAAUAUCAGGUUAAGUAUGUGUUUGGAUAUUCAUCAUAAAGUUAGCUCAAAAGGUGAGGUUGAUCUCGCACAUUUAUAGAUUCAACAAUCCGAGAUUCUAAACAAUGUAAGACUUUUCUUAGAACUUCUCUCUUGUAAUUUCAAGCUUUGUCCACAUUGAAUCUAUAAUCUUUUCCGUUGUGACAUUUCUUAGAACUUUAUUAUCGAGAUACAAGAUAGUGACAUUUAUAGCCUUAUCCAUCAUUGUAGUCUUCUUUGCUCAUGUUAGACUUGUAUGCAUCAAUGUCCUCUUUAAUGCUUCUACACACCUUUAUUAAGUUAAUAUUAUCCACACCUUCUCUUUCUAUAACCCCAAAUUAUUAUCUCCAAAAUACUUCUCAAUAUUUAAUUUAGAACUUAUGGUUUUCACUUGUAAACUUAACUCCUUUGUCUCAUGCCACUUUUAAUGAAAUAUUAUAAUAUAUCAACCACAUCAAAACUUUCUGAUGUGUGAGACAAAAAAUAAUAAAAACUAAAAUAAAUGAUCUCAAAUAAAAUUGAUAUUCGCAAAGAAGAAUGUCACCCAAUUUAUUAACCAGCAAGAGGAAGAUAGAAGAUGAGUAUACAUAAAAAUUUGCUUAUCUAAUUUGAUUAUAUUUGUUUACUAUAUGGGAGAACAACUCUCCUAUUCACUAUCCAUAAAAAAUUACAAAUGAAUUAAAAAAUAUAGUCUUCCAAAUUUCAAAGAAUAAACCCUAUUUUCUAUCAAGUAUUUCUCAAUCUAAUCUCUUCAACUUAAAAUAUAUGAAACACACAAAUCAAAAUUAUUUAGAAAUAUUUUCCAAUCCCUUUAAAUCCCUUUAAAAAUGAUCUAAAUUUUGAAAUAACAGUCCUAAAAAUUUCUUCCCUUACAUCCCUAAAUUUCCCUGUGAGGGAUUACCAAACCUUUCUUAUUUCUUUUCUACUAAAAUCGAUCGAGAAACAUGUCUAUAAUAUCCUCAAAUUUUAAUAGCUCAUAUUUCUAGACUAGAUAUACAAACCUACUUAAACCUCCCAUCAAAAGUGUUAACAAAAAUAAUCAACCGAGCCAAAAUAUUCUCUCCCUUAAUAAUUUGAAAUUUUGAGUCAUACUUUCACAUUUACGAUUUAAAUUUUAAAAAAUAGAUUGUAACUUUCUAUGUAGAAAAAAGGUUAAAGAAAAGAAUAAUAUGAUGGUCUUUACAAAAAUAUAGAGUGGUGAAAAGAUAAAAAAUAGCAUUAACAAUGACAACAUUUAAAUUUUACAAUAAUUUUUUAAAUUCUAUUAUGUAAGAGUUAAAAGGUAACUUGUUUAUUUUUUGAAAUUACUUUCUAAUUCUAUUAUGUAAAUUUUGUUAAUUUUUUGUCAAAAAUAAUUAUAGAAAAAGAUAGAACUAAUCACAAUUGACAAUACACAUUAGAUAUGUUAGACGAUUGGGAAACACGAUAAAAUACAUCAAUAUUGAGUGCGAAUAUGAGGAUGUUUUGUGCUUUUUAAUUAUAUGACCACAAUUUCUUAUCAUUAUCAUUUUAUUGAUUUUUCGGUUUUGGUAUGACGACACCUUCACCAUUGUUCAUUGUAAUUUGAUUAGGACCAUUGAUAAUGAUGUCUCAUACACCCUUAUCAACCGAGUUGAUAUGGAUACACAUACAAACUUUCAAAUAGCCAUGAUUUUCUCCGGUGAAAAUUUAUGCUCUAUUGUACGCCCCUUUAGGUUCGGUAGCCAUUAUCUAAUCAAUGAAUACUAAGCACAAAAUUAACCGGAGCUCGUGAUACCACUUGUUAGAUGAUAGACUUAGAUCUAGGGGGGGGGGGACAGAUCUCGAGUUAAAACUUUAACAAAAAAAUAGUUUUGAAAAUUUUAUGGCGCGGAAGCAAGUGAAAAUAUCUCGGAUUAAAAUCUACGAACCGAGCCCGCUAUCAAAAAAGCAAGUACAAAUCAACAAUGAUAGUCUACUUCCAAUGAUAAUUCAUAGAAAAAAUCAAUUGAGACAAUUUGUCAAACACCUAGUGUACAAUUGAUAUUGUUUAGAAUUUUAUAUGGUAUUGUUGAUCUUAAAACCCAAUCAUAGCUUAAGGAAUUUUGAUCAACUCAACAACACCAAUUUCAAAAUGUGUUCAAAAUUAUUAUCCAAACAAUUUGAUUGUAUGAUCGAUGAAAUCAACAAUUUGCAAACCGAAAAUAAAAGAGAGAUAGAGAGAAUACACAUGGUAGUUCCCCAAUCGACCUCGCUAUGAGUAUAUUUCACCUUAAUUUGAACUCGAAUAUAGAUAGUGUAAUAUAUCUUACUUUGCAAAUGUAUGAAUACAAGAGACAUGUAGCAAUCUAACCUUAUAAACUCCAAGUUUGAUGUUGAUUCUGACACCUUCUCUUCCCUUGAUCAAAGCUUGAUCAAGUAACCAAACAAUGUUGCUUCGAUUCACCGUCUCACGCUACUUCUUUGCAAGAAACCCCUUGUUCUUCAAAGCUUUCACUCGAUCAAAUCCAAAACACGCACUUGUUGAAUCCCAAGAUUUACCAAUGUGAUCCACCGUCCCACGCUACUCCUUUGCAAGAACCUCCCAUCAAAGACUUCACUCGAUCGGAUCCUAAUUUCAUAAUCUUACCCAAAACCUUCAAACCCUAAAUGAUCUUGAAGAAAAACCCCAUCUAGGUUUUCUAAUUUGAAACCCUUAAAGUUCUCAACCUAAUUUACAAUACAAUCAACCUAAAUUGGAUGUUAUCAACUCUAAUCUAGAUGGCAUCCAAUCAAAAAAUGAUUAUGUGUAGUUUGAUUGUGUUUAUGGAUAAAAUGAGGUUGAAGAUGAUAAGAAUGCUUUGAAAUCCUGGUUUCGUAUAGGUUUUACUCUCUAGAAUCCUUACUAGAAAAUGAUGCAUGUACCAAGUAUAUAUAUGUAAACAAGUAUGAAGCAAAAGGAAUGGAAAAUAAUGCAAAUUUUCAAGAAUUUUAAUGUAUGUGUUGGCUUAUGCAAGUCAUGUGUCGAUCUGUACAAGCAAUGAGUCGACCUGUACAUGUUAUGUGUUGACCUGUAGAGGCGACACAUCUAACAAAGCGCACAUGCUUUAAAACUGCAACACAUAAGCCGACCUAUAAAACAUAUGUGUCGAUUCUUCUAUAGGUCGACCUAUAAUGUGUAUGUGUUGACAUGUAUGAUGUUUUUCAGACAAGAACGAGUUUUUGAUGCACAAAACCUUUUCUAAACCAAUUCCAAACAUGUUGUCAUGCUUCCUAAUGCUAAAAUGCACAAGUAGACUUAGAUGGUACUGUCCAAUGUACAUAAAAGCUAAAGUAUCAUAGUUUUGAUAUCAUACAAAAUACAUCUAACAGAAAGUUGCACUCACAUACUCUCCCUUUUUGAUGAUGGAAAAACUUGAGACGAUGUAUUUCGUGUUCAUGAAAGCUCCCCCUGAAUGUAUGCAACAUAGCUUCAUAUUUUUCUCCACCUUUGAUAACAUGAAAAAGAGACAAAUAAAGUUAUUAGCAGUAUCACAUAGAUACAACAGAUCACAUAAACAAUAUAGGAUACAAAGGCGUUUGCAAAGAUAUGAACAUGCACUCACGUAUAUACAACAUACAUGAAAAUACACAAUGGAAAUAAACACAACAUUAUUGAAUAAUUGUCAUCCAAAGAAAUACACAUAGUAAAACCAUUGUCACAAAUUCAAACAAAUUAGAAACAUUGUCAAUACAUAACUAGUAGCAAAAUAAACCAAUCAAAAAGAAUAAUGCAUGAAGACUCAAAGAAUUACUCUAAGAAAUGAAUCACAAAACAUGAUAAUCAAAGACACAACAACAUAAUAUCUCAACACUUCAUCCAACAACACUUCAUCCUCUUCCAUGACCCAUAGGCCUUGGUCUUACACCCCUAUACCAUCCUUGUUCAUCAUUACCAUAAUGAUGAUCCAAGAAGUCACACAUUUUUUUGGUAAAACCUAGCAUAAUGAUGAUGGUUGUCAUUCUCAAAUGCGAUCAUAUGAUUUAUCCUAGAAAUCAUGGUUGCAUGAUUUGCAUCCAUCUCAUUGUGCAUGGACACAAGAAUCUCCGUCACAUAAGAAGCAAAGGCUAAAAAAUUCCAUAUUUUCCACCCAUGUGCUCUUGCACGAGACAUAAUCUCUCCUCUUAAGCACCCUCAAAGGCAUCUCACCUUUUACAAUCUUCUUCAUACCGCUCGUCUUGCCUCAGUUGCAUGUUCUGGAUCAUAGUCAUGAUGAAGGAAGUAUCACCAAAACCAAUACCAGACGUAUUACCAUGAGUAUCUACAUGAGGAGCAUCUUGCAUAACAACAUCACCCUUAUGAACACCAUGAGAGGGACCAAUUGGUUUCUCAUCAUCCAUAUGUCCCUUAGCAUCAUCAUCACCAAACUCUGCAGGAUCAUCAAAAUUGUAAAUCUUCCUACCAUUCUUACCCAUACGAAAGUAGUAUGCCCGAUGAUUUAUAUCCCAAAAAUAGCCCAUGUUUGUUAGGGUUUUUUGAGAGAAAUCUUGAGCUUGGCCCAAAUAUUUAUAAGUAAGAUUGGGCAUACCAAUGUUGAAGUUAUUCAAUAUCUUGGUACUCAUGGAGACAUAGCAAAAUGACAUCCCUUUGUUGUAUUCCUUAAUGGAGAACAUGCGAGAUACAAAGUAAUGUGCCUAAUUGAUUUUGAUCUUGUUCAACAAAAUAUACACCAGAUGAAUUUCAACAAAAUCAAUUCUUGAGAACCCGCCAUUCUUCGGGGGCAAGAUAUGAGGUACCAACCAUAACAAAAUUAUAGGAACCAUCUUCAAUUAUCCAGUAGUAAUAGGAUCAUAACAAUGUUUAAAAUGAGGAGCUUUAAGUAGCUCAUUCACAUGAAUGUUCCACUUAAAAUGUAUAUGAGGGUUGGUAUCCGUCACCAAUGGGUCAACUUCAUCAUCAUCAUCAUCAAUAACAUUAGUACCAAAUAAGGAUUUCCAAAGUUCAUCAGUGAGUUCAUAAACAAUGUUACCUAUGGUAACUUUGAAGCAAGAACCUCUCUUGUCAUGUAACCCGGAGUAGAAUACACAAAUGAGGUCUUCAUUAUAAUCAUGAGCAAGCUGUAGAAAGUAAUCAAUCUGUUGAUGCGCAAAAGAUUAGCCACUUCAAGAAUAUCCAAAGAACCAACCACAAUAGCCUUCCAAACAUAUUCCUUCACCACAAGCCGAUGUUGAUGUUUUUCCUCAAAUUAAUUAAGACACUUAGUAGAAACCAAAUAAACUAUACAUUCCAAAGAAGUAGAAGAUGUGCUUUCUUUACCUUUGCCUUUAGAAUCACCUUUGGUCUUUGAAAGCUUAUGAGCUAUUGAAAAAUAUUCAACCAACGUUUGCACACUGUAACACCCCAACUAAAAUAAGCUAAUUAUUUAAUUUAAAUUAAUAUUUUAUUUAUUAAUUUAAUUGAAUAAUUGGAAGUUUGGAUUAAUAUUAUUAUUUUUGGGAAUAAUAAUUAUUGGGCAAUGAACCUCUCUAACAGGAUUAAGGAUAGUCACGAUGUGCAACUCUAGAGCAACAACGCGGAUCGAUGAUUAAAUAAGCACACAGGGAAACUCAAAUCGAUAUAUCUUCUCACCCAAUGAACCAAAUCAAGAAACAAUUAAGGCAUGUUCACACUAUUUCAAGAUCUACAAAACCCUAAGCAUAAUUAGAGAAAUGAGAGAUUCGAAAUGUAACCUGAAGGUGAUGGCAGCCAUGGAUCUUGAGCUGUUGCGCUCGCAAAUUAGCCCUUAAAAACAGAUGAUAGAAAGAUCGAAAGCACAUGUUGACGCCAAGUAAUGACCGAGCUAAGCUCAAUGUGAUCCAAUGAGAAUCUCAAUUGCCUAUGGUAUUAUACUGGUUGCCUAUCACAUUUGGAGGGAACGGUAGUGAGGGACACAGUAAGCAUAUCGUAAAUACUGCCUCUAGCCGCAACAUGUACUCGAUACGAAAUACUAGCAUUGGAAGUGUAUUCAUAGGAGAUGGCAUUCAAAUGAAAGAGAUACGCAUUCAUACAAAAAGAAUGAUUCGAGCCGCAUGACAUAUAGUGAUCGAGAGAUCGACACAAGUGUUGGAUGUCAUGCAAAAAUUGAUUGUAGAAGGAUCUGAGAGUAUGAGAUGUAACUGUUUUUGAGAGCGGGUAGAAACUCCAGCCUUUAGAGGAUCGCAGAGCAUCUUGAUACGAGGUUGAUUGUAAUGACAAGUCUAUGAAGCGGUACACUCAAGGAGGCUUGCCUUAGUAGACCAAUUAUGUAUUAGUGGCGACAUCACUCGACGUAAUCAUGAAUUAGGCAGACAUUAGAUACAUGGAAUGAAGCUGUGUGAGCACUAUAUGGUCAGAGAGAGUCAGCAAAUAUGAUUUCAAAGAACAAAUUAUUAACUAGGCGCCGAAAAGAUAAUGGUUUCGCACUAGAUAUGUUCGAGGAACGAAAAGCUCUUAGUGGGGGAGGUUGAAGCACCCAAGCCAUACUAAAUAAGUCGAAAUUAUUAAUGAGGUAAGAUUUAUGAUUGUAAAUGGUUUUCAUGUUAAUAAUGUGGUAACUUGUAUGAAUUACAUCUGAGUAAUGCUAACAUGGAUCUAUAAGUCCUAUAAUAUUUGUUUAGGGUAAUAAGAUAUGAUCAUAUAUCAAGGGAAGUGAUGAUAUCAAACCUUGAAGAGAUUCAUUAUUAUUAAUAGAGACAUAAAGUUGAUAAUCGAAAAAAGGACCUCACUAUGCUAAAUAAAGUUGUUACUAGUUUUAUCACGUGAUAAGGAAAAUGAUAGAGGCUCAGAAAGCGGAGAAAAGGAGCACAAGAGAACGCCAGACACAGACUAAGGGAUUGACAGGCACGAAAAAGCUGUAAGCUUGCCAGAACUUUGCCUUAUUACAUCAGGUAGGUGGGUUACCAAUGAAUCGUGAAGCAUUGGGGAUUCGUCCAUUGAGAUUAUAUUAACAAUGGGAUAGAUGAGAUAGAACCUAUAAUUAUACCAUGAAUAUGGAUGAAUAUAGAACUAGAAAAUUGUAGGAAAUAAUUGAAUGAUAAGCAGAAAAAUGGAGAUGAAAAUCGAAAAAAAAAGAAAAUUCUGUAAGGAAAUGGUAAUGGAAAUGUCAAGGAAGUUGUGAGAACUACGAAAUAGGGAGAGAUUCGGGUAUAGAUAAGAGAGAUAAUUCUGUGAAAAUAUUGGACUAGUGGAAAGAGUGAGACAGAAUUAGAACAGUUGUAAGCAGGAACAACAUACAAUAGACUAGAAUAUGGAAAAUCUGGAUUCAUGGUCAUAAAAAAAAAAAAAAAAAAUAAAAGAACAAAAGACAGAUAUAGGACACAAAAAAGGUAAAAUAACAAAGCGAUAAUGGAGAAAAAUGAACGGUAAGCACGAAGAAAGUGCGCAAAGGUAAAAGCAAUAAAGCGAGAUAAAAAGAGAGAGAAGAAAAGAAAUGAAAUUUGAAGCGUAAAAUGGUCUCAUGGGGAACGCGUAUGGGAGAAGUGAUACGCGUAGCAACGCGUAUGGAAUAUGGGCAAUACGCGUAUGGCUUGGUCAGGAUUUAGGCAAUACGCGUAUGAGCAUAGGCAAUACGCGUAUGGGCAGGGUUUGAUUUCCUGUGCUGUUGUCGUGCAGUUUUUGAACUGUUCGGGCUGAGUAGUGAGACUUGCUGAGGUAUGAUGUAAUAGGGAUCGUUUCUCGUUGUUUUGACGUAGUAUAGGUAUUAGUAGAAUGUGCUAAUACUGUGUUUGAUUUUAUGGCAUGUUGUGAUAUGCUUUUGUGAUAAAUGUGUUGACAAUAUGGUUGGUUGGUAAUGCUUUAUACUGUGAAUGUAUCAGUUAUGUAUGCAUUAGCGAAUAGACUUGUUUUUUAUGGCUUAGAGUGUGAGCAUAUGUCUAUUCUUGAGUUGAUGUUGUUGUUGCAUUGCUAGGUGAUUAGCAUGCAUAGUUUAUGCCUUUGGGGCUGUAGCUAAUUCCCAUUGUGAGGAAUUAGUGAGUUGUGGAUUGUUGUUGAUGUUUGCAUACUAGAUGAGUAGCGUGCAUAGUCUAGCCUUCGGGGCUGUAGCUAAUUCCCAUGGUGAGGAAUUAGGUGAGUGAGUCACUAGAUAUCAAUGAGUGGGACUAGUGACUCAGUAGCCGUAUCCAGAGGGAAUCGUUGAGCUUGAACUAUAGUUUCGAGAUAGUCGGUCCCGCAAUGUGUUGAGUCUUCAUUGCAUAAUGAAUGCAUGGCAUAGCCGGUGGGGCCUGUAGCUAAUUCCCAUUGUGAGGAAUUAGUGAGUAAAUCGUUGUGUUGUGUUGUUGGUAUGGAGUAUGGGUUGAGAUUAUAUUAUAGAUAUAUAUGCUAUAAUGUAUUGCUGAGUAUGAUGUUUGCGUUGAUACUGCGUUAUGGAGUGUGUAGUCUGGUUGGGGUGAUUUGAUGCGUCAUUUACUUAACAUUACAUAAUGUCGUAUAAUGCCUGUUAUAUUGAUUGAGGAACUCACCCUUACAACUCUUUUUUCAGGUAACGAGCAGUGAGUCGAGUAGAAGCUAAUGAUUGGAGUCUAGUGUAGUCUCCUAGUGGGUCAUGCCUGAUAGAUGUAACAUCGGGGUGGGAUGUUUGAAUAUUUUAUCGAUUGUGUGAACCUUUUGCAUGUAAUAUGUUUACAUGUUUGGAAUAAUUGAAUUGAUUUCUAUCCGCUGCGUAUUACAGAUACUUAUGUUUUAAAUUAAAUGAGCNNNNNNNNNNNNNNNNNNNNNNNNNNNNNNNNNNNNNNNNNNNNNNNNNNNNNNNNNNNNNNNNNNNNNNNNNNNNNNNNNNNNNNNNNNNNNNNNNNNNUCAGAAACUAUUUUUAAUCAAUUAAAAAUGAAUAAAAAUAACCUAAUUGAACUAAAAUCUCAAAUAAAUCUCAAAUCAAUUCAAAAAUUGAUGAGAAUAUUUUUCAUAGAUCCAUCAUCAUUCAAAUAGGUUAGGAAAAUAUUUUUGCAUUUUUUUAAUAUCAAAAACUAUUUAAAAUGAAUUAAAAAUAACCAGAAAAGAAAAAAAUCACAAAAAAUAUCAAAUGACAAAAUGAAAAAUAAUAAAAAUCAGAAAUAGAAACUAGAAUUUAUUUGGGAACUAAUGCAAUUGGUCCCAUAAUUUUUGGAUAAAAAAUGAGAGAGAUAUUAAUUUUUGAAAAUAAUUGGAAUUAAAGAAAAUAAAAGGAAAAUAAAACAGAAAAUAGAAAUUGUAAAAAGCGUGGACCGUUUGAUCUAAGCUCAUUAAUUGAGCUGGAAAAUCAAGAGGCCACGAAGCGCGCGCCUACCAUGGAUCCAAGUCAAUGCGUGCACAUGAGAAAGAAAUAAAAGUCAUUACAAUGGACGCCUGAGAUCGAAUCUGGAAACAUCAUCACACGGUCCAGAUUUAAAUUGGAGAUGAUGAAGCCACCGGAGCCACCGUCUUCUCCGGUGAGCUUCCAGAUUCCGGCCAAAAUGCAGAAACUCAAAAGGCAACCAAAACGUGCGAUCUAUAUAUCAAUAGAAAGCUAGGAUGAUGUACAUCAUCCCUAUACCAUCCAUUUUCAUUCUAGAUCUCUAUGAUUUGAGAAAUUAGAAGUUGAAAAAUCUGGUGUUCUAGUACUUGAGUUACUUAACGUUUUUAAUUUUCGUAUUUGUUGAUGCCUCUAUUGAGAGGACUUCAGCCAACACAAAAUCAUAGCCAAUAGGUCAAAGGAUUAGGAGAAUCGAAGAAAAUACCAGUUAAAAUGUAAGCUUGAGUUCUGGUGAUUUGAGCUUGAAACCUUGUGAUCAGUGCAUAUUUAUGCAUAAUUCUCCUACUUUUUACUUAGGCAUUUCUUUAUUUUAUUUUGUUUAUUUUUAUAUUUUAUUAUAUUUUCAUAUUUUAUUUUAUUUUUAGUUUAAUUUAAUUUUCGCACUUAUUUUUCAGCUUUAGCAGUCUGCGCAGAAACAAUCAUAACUGGAGUUCCGGGAAUCCGUUUGAGGCGUUCUAAAAAUCGCCGGAAAGCUAAGAGAGAGAGCUACGACUUUCGUGUUGGAGUCGAAGUCAGAUUCGGAGCUCAAAAUUCCAGAAUUUCAUUUCAAGUUACAACAUUAGAAUUUUAUUUUAGUGUUGGGUCAUGUUGUGGGCCUGGGUUAUAUUUUCGACCCAGUUGGGUUUUGAACCGGAUCCACUUUUUAUCUUUUUAAGGAGAACGUGUGUACUGUUCACGGGGGAGACUAUUCACGCAAAAAAAAUAUUGUUGAAGCUUGAAAACUCAUGGAGAACUAAUCCUCUUUGGACGGAUUCACUGUACUCAGGUUUCAAACUUUGAGAUUGUUAUGAUAUUUACAAUUUAAUUUCUAUUCCUUUCAAUUAUAUCAUGUGAUUGUUGUUUGCUUAAUUCAAUUAUCAUAUAGUGUAUUUGAUUUAAUUUGAGUGAUCUGUGUUCCUAAUUUUAAUCGUAGAUUAACUCUGCUUAACUGUUAAUUUGCUCUAUCAUUUACCGUAUGCUUAAUCCGGCAAUAGGAACAUGUUCUCAUAAAAUCUUCCACGCUUGUUGACUGAUUUUUUCAUCAAAUAGGAUAGAAGUCCCGCUUGGGAAAUUGUAUUUUCAUCGGUCGAUGAUUAGUAAGAACCGAGGCAGUGGAUCCGUUACUUUAAUCGCUUAUUUCACAACAACUUAUUUCAGUAAUCAAUUAUUUUAAGUGCUUUUUCUUUAUCGGAAACCUAAACCAAACCCCCCCUUAUUUUAUUACUGUUAUUGAUUUUCCCACAAGAAUCCUUGAGAGACGAUAUUUCGAGUCAUUGUCGCUAUAUUACAUAUUUACAAAAACCACUCGUUUUUGAUCCGCGAGCGACCGCGGAUCAAUUUGGCGCCGUUGCCGGGGAUUCUUGUCGUUAUUAAUUAAUUUUAGAGUCAUAGUGUUAGUUUCGUCGAGUCCAGACCUUAGUUUCCUCGCGGUUUCGUCCAAUUCGCAUUUUAGAGUCCAAAACGUAAAAAAAAUCUGUUUUUUUUGAAAAUUUCGUCCGAAUCAAAAUCUGUUCCGGGCAUUUGAAGCAGAAAAAUUAGAGAAACGUUUGUCCCUAACUACAAAGUAGUUAUGGGAGGUGUGCUUUCAAAUUCCCAAAUUCAUCAUUUUUCUAUUUUUUAUGAUUUAUUUACUGUUUUCAUCGAGUCGUAAAAAAUCAAAAAAAUUCUCAAAAUUCUAUUUUUAAGCCAUUAGAUCAAUUUCGGCGUCGUUUUAUUUUUCUGAAGUUUUUUUGAUCGAUUUCCUUCUUUGUGCUUGUUUUUUAAAUUUUAGGGACAUUGUUGGCAUUUUGAACAUUGUUGCUGCAUUGUUGUGCAUUAGUCCUGGCAACUAGGUCAUCUUGUUCUGAACUUGUUGCUUUUGAUCCUGAAGUAGAGAGAACUUUGCACACACGACGUAGAGCAGUCCAGGUUUCCACUAGCUCACUUGAAAUGGCUGAUAAUAGAACAUUAAGGCAGUUAGCUGCACCUGAUGUGAAUUACAACGGUUUGUGUAUUGAGUAUGCUGCUGAUGCUGUUCCUUUUGAGUUAAAAUCAGGUUUAAUCCAUUUGUUGCCCAAGUUUAGUGGUCUUGCAGGUGAAGAUCCUCACAAACAUCUGAAAGAAUUUCAAGUGGUGUGUUCUACGCCACUGAAGCCUGAAGGGAUCACUGAAGAUCAUAUCAAACUUCGAGCUUUUCCUUUUUCAUUGCAGGGUGCAGCAAAGGAUUGGAUAUAUUCCCUCGAGCCAAAUUCAAUUGCAAACUGGAAUGCUCUGAAAAAAGUGUUCCUUGAGAGAUACUUUCCUGCCUCCAGAGCUGCCUCGAUAAGAAAAGAGAUAUGUGGUAUUAGACAGGGUAAUGAGUCUUUGACCGAAUAUUGGGAGAGGUUUAAACAGUUGGUAUCCAGCUGCCCUCAGCACCAGAUCACCGAGCAGCUACUCAUCCAGUACUUUUAUGAGGGGUUGUUACCGAUGGAUAGGAACAUUCUUGAUGCUGCUAGUGGUGGAGCACUUGUCGAUAAAACUCCGGCUGCUGCCAAGGCUCUAAUUGAGAAUAUGUCACUAAAUUCCCAACAGUUCACAACAAGAAAUAAUUCUGUCCAAAUAAAGGGUGUGAACGAAAUUCACGUAUCCUCUCAUGUUUCUCACUCCGACAAAGCCUUCGAAAAUAAAAUGAAUGAGCUGAAGGAUUUAGUGCAGCAGAUGAUAGUCGUAGGUAAGGCUCAAGCAACCCAACAACUUCAAACACCACCAAGGUUAUGUGGCAUUUGUACCUCUUCUGAUCAUCCUACUGAUACAUGUCCUAUUUUGCAAGAUGAUAAGCCUACUGAAUUACCUCCAGCUUAUGCUGCAGCCCUUUACAACCAAAGUAACAACCAGAACCGGUACAACAUUCCCGACUUGUCCACUAAUAAGUACCACCCGAGUUGGAGGAACCAUCCAAACCUCCGAUAUGGAAACUCACAAAUGGCCGUCAACAACCUUCAGUUCCAACAAAGGACCGAUGCUAGCAUCCAGAACUUGAACACGCAGAUGGGACAACUUGCUACUCAAAUGAAUAACAUGCAAGCCCAAGGGUCAAACCAACUUCCAGCCCAAACAGUUAUCAAUCCAAAUGGUCCUAAUGCUAAUGUGAGUGUAAUUUCUUUGAGAUCCGGAAAAGUUACAGAACCAGCCCCUGAAAAAAAUAAAAAAAAUCAUUGAGGUAACUUCUGAACUUCCUACUUCUGAACUGUCUGCUGAACCUCCUUCUCCUUCUUCUGUUGUGGUCGAAACUGAAAAAAUUAAAGAAAAAGAGCACGUACCACCAGUCCCCUUCCCACAUAGAGUUCUGAAAAAUAAGAGAAUUGAGGAGGGAGACAAAGAAAGAGAGAUAUUAGAUGUUUUCCGAAAAGUUGCGGUAAACAUCCCGUUACUUGAUGUGAUUAAGCAGGUUCCUAAGUAUGCUAAGUUUCUGAAGGAUUUGUGCACCAACAAGAGGAGGAUGAAGGGAAGUGAGAGAGUCAAUUUGGGAAGGAAUAUUUCUUCCUUUAUUCAGCCCCGACCUUCAUCUGAAAAAUUUACGGGCGAAGGGAAUGUUUCAGCCCUCACUAUUCCGGUCUUGCCACAAAAGUGCAAGGACCCGGGAACUUUUGCUAUCCCUUGUACCAUCGGAAAUAGUAAAUUCGAUGACUGCAUGCUUGAUUUAGGAGCGAGCAUUAAUGUUAUGCCUACUUCUGUUUAUAAUAACCUUUGUCUUGGUCCUUUGCAGCCUACAGGUUUAAUCAUUCAGUUGGCGAACAGGAGUAACACCCGCCCUGCCGGCAUAGUCGAAGAUGUCCUUGUUCAAGUUAACGAUUUAAUUUUUCCUGCAGAUUUUUACAUUCUUGACAUGGAGGGAGAAACAAGGUCCAGCAAAGCUCCAAUCAUUUUAGGAAGACCAUUCAUGAAAACGGCAAAAACUAAAAUUGAUGUUGAUGAUGGAAGCAUGUCCAUGGAGUUUGGCGACAUUAUCGCAAAAUUUAACAUUUUUGAUGCCAUGAAACAUCCUUUGGAGGAACACUCUGUUUUUCGCAUUGAGUUGAUUUCUGAAUUAGUUGAUGACACUUUUUCUGAUUUAUUUUCUCUUGAUUUUUCAUCUGGUUUUGAUGAUGUUUAUUCAUGUUCUGAUUGUACUGACACUAACCUUUGUGUUGUGUGUGCUGAGAUUGAUGCUGCCCUGCAGGCUGACGUAUUUCCUACAGGUGAAGCUGUCGCCGAUGAAUCUGUUUUUGUAGCUGAUGCUCUUGAUGUUCCUGCUGCCCCAAGCGCCCCAUCCAUCGAGCAGCCCCCGUCCUUAGAGCUAAAGGAGCUCCCUGAAAACCUGAAAUACGCUUACUUGGAGAGUAAUGAAAAACUCCCUGUUAUUAUUUCUUCUAACCUUGAUUUCGAUCAAGAAAACAAACUUUUGCAGGUUCUGAAGAAGCACAAAAAGGCAAUCGGGUGGACAUUAGCCGACCUUCCAGGAAUUAGUCCUUCCAUGUGUAUGCACAGAAUUUUACUUGAGGAUGGUGCGAAAACAGUAAGGCAGCCCCAAAGGAGGCUUAAUCCUUUGAUUCUCGAUGUCGUGAAGAAAGAGGUAACCAAACUCUUGCAAGCAGGUAUCAUUUACCCUAUCUCUGACAGUAAGUGGGUAAGCCCAGUGCAGGUUGUACCUAAGAAAUCUGGACUUACAGUUAUCAAAAAUGAAAAGAAUGAACUUGUUCCCACUAGAGUGCAGAAUAGCUGGAGAGUUUGUAUCGAUUACAGGAGACUAAACCAGGCUACUAGAAAGGAUCACUUUCCUUUACCGUUCAUCGACCAAAUGCUUGAACGGCUAGCUGGUAAAUCACAUUAUUGUUUUCUUGAUGGCUUUUCAGGUUACUUUCAGAUUCAUAUUGCACCGGAAGAUCAAGAGAAGACCACUUUUACUUGUCCUUUCGGUACUUUUGCUUAUAGGCGAAUGCCUUUUGGUCUUUGCAAUGCUCCUGGCACUUUCCAGCGUUGCAUGCUUAGUAUUUUUUCUGAUUUUAUUGAAAAUUGCAUGGAAGUCUUUAUGGACGACUUCACUGUCUAUGGUUCUUCUUUUGAUGCAUGCUUGAGCAGUUUAAGCUUGAUUUUAGAAAGAUGCAUCGAAACUAACCUUGUUUUAAAUUAUGAAAAAUGUCAUUUUAUGGUUGAGCAGGGAAUUGUUCUUGGUCACAUAAUUUCUGAAAAAGGAAUUUCUGUUGACCCUGCUAAGAUUGAUGUGAUUUCUACACUACCUUACCCAUCUUGCAUUCGCGAGAUUCGCUCUUUUCUUGGUCAUGCAGGUUUUUACAGGCGUUUCAUCAAAGAUUUCAGCAAGAUAGCUCUUCCGCUGUCAAACUUGUUGAAGAAUGACGUCACUUUCCACUUCGAUGACAAAUGCAAACAGGCGUUUGACUUCUUGAAGAAAGCAUUGACCUCCGCUCCCAUAAUCCAGCCGCCUGACUGGACCCUCCCUUUUGAGCUUAUGUGUGACGCUUCGAAUUAUGCUGUUGGGGCUGUCCUUGCACAAAGAGUUAACAAGGCUGCCCAUGUUAUUUACUAUGCUUCUAGGACUUUAGACUCUGCACAGUCAAAUUACACUACCACUGAAAAAGAACUUCUAGCUAUUGUUUUUGCUCUUGAUAAAUUCAGAUCUUAUUUGCUAGGUUCCAAGGUUGUUGUUUUUACUGACCAUGCAGCUUUAAAAUAUUUGUUGAAGAAGCCGGAUGCAAAACCGAGAUUGAUUCGGUGGAUGUUGUUGCUCCAAGAGUUUAAUGUAGAGAUUAAAGAUAAAAGUGGAGCUGAGAACUUAGUGGCUGACCAUUUGAGCAGGAUAGAGAGAGAUGAAGAUCUUUUUCCUAUUCAGGAUGACUUUCCUGAUGAGCAGCUUUUAGUUUUACAUGGUAUUACACCUUGGUUUGCUGAUAUUGUUAAUUAUCUUGUUGCUGGUGUUUUUCCUACAGGUGCAUCCAGAUCACAGAUUCAUAAACUCAAAAGUGAUGCCAAAUAUUAUGUUUGGGAUGAUCCAUAUCUUUGGAAGUUUGGUAGUGAUCAAGUUAUUAGAAGAUGUGUCCCCGACUAUGAGAUUGAAUCCAUUUUAAAUUUCUCUCAUGCGUCUCAAGUCGGAGGACAUUUUGGCCCGCAAAGAACUGCAAGAAAAGUCCUCGACUCAGGCUUCUAUUGGCCAACUGUUUUUAAAGAUGCUUAUGAGACUUACCGCACUUGUAAAGAGUGCCAGAUAGCAGGUACGAACAUCACUCGCAAGAGUGAAAUGCCUCAGCAACCUAUGCUUUUCUGUGAGGUAUUCGAUGUAUGGGGAAUUGACUUCAUGGGUCCCUUUCCUGUAUCGUUUGGUUUCCUUUAUAUUCUGCUUGCUGUUGAUUAUGUCUCAAAGUGGGUAGAAGCUAUCCCCACUCGGACUAAUGAUUCUAGAGUUGUUGCAGAUUUUGUCAGGUCUAAUAUCUUUUGCAGGUUUGGAAUACCGCGAGCUAUCAUCAGUGACCAAGGCACUCAUUUCUGUAACCGCACCAUGGAAGCUUUGCUCCGAAAGUAUGGAGUUGUGCACAGAGUCUCUACUGCAUAUCACCCACAAACUAAUGGGCAAGCUGAGAUCUCAAACAGGGAGAUCAAACAGAUUUUAGAGAAAAUGGUGCAACCAAACAGGAAGGACUGGAGCCGUCGUCUAGAAGACGCACUUUGGGCUCAGAGAACAGCUUUCAAGACACCCAUUGGGAUGUCUCCUUAUCGACUUGUUUUUGGUAAGGCAUGUCAUCUUCCUGUUGAGAUAGAACACCGUGCCUAUUGGGCGGUGAAAAGUUGUAAUUUGGAGAUGCAACAAGCAGGUAUUGAAAGAAAACUCCAAUUACAACAGUUGGAAGAGCUUAGAUUAGAGGCUUAUGAAAGCUCUAGAAUUUAUAAAGAAAAAACUAAGCACUUCCAUGAUAAAAUGAUUUCUAGGAAAGAGUUUUCUGUGGGCCAACAGGUUUUAUUGUUUAAUUUCCGCCUUAAGCUUAUGGCUGGGAAACUUCGAUCCAAAUGGAUUGGCCCUUUCGUUGUUACUAAUGUUUUCCCUCAUGGUGCAGUAGAAAUUAAAAGUACAGGUACUGACAAAGUCUUUAAAGUUAACGGGCAGCGUCUGAAGUUAUUCUAUGGAGGUUCGGUGCCUGAAGAUGUCGGUAUAGAGGAGCUUUCUUUGGAAGCGCCUAACUACACUGCAACUUGGUCAGGGAGUUGUCCUUUCCUUCUCUUUACUUUAAUAAUUAUGUCUUUUCAUUGAGGACAAUGCAUGUUUUAAGUCUGGGGGAGGGAGACCUUUGUUUUAUUUUGUUUUUUUUGUUUUUCAGUUAUUAUAAUAAAAAUAAAAAAAAAUAAAAAAAAACAAAAAUUUUUUUUGCAUCUUUUUGAAAGUUCUGGGCUAUAGUCUAAUUUGGGAUUAGUUUGCAGAGACUUGGGAACAGUUCAUAAGAUCGAUAUCGUUUUAACACCUUGAGUCUCCCAAAUAUGGAAGUCGAGUCAGAUACUUGUUAUGGAAUAGUCUUGAGUUCUCGUCCUCUAAUAGCUUUUAAGUAGUUUAUCUAGCAGUCAGCACCAUCUAGAAAUCACAUGCUAAGUAGUUGAGCUGAUGCAAAUAAGUGAAUGAUCNNNNNNNNNNNNNNNNNNNNNNNNNNNNNNNNNNNNNNNNNNNNNNNNNNNNNNNNNNNNNNNNNNNNNNNNNNNNNNNNNNNNNNNNNNNNNNNNNNNNNNNNNNNNNNNNNNNNNNNNNNNNNNNNNNNNNNNNNNNNNNNNNNNNNNNNNNNNNNNNNNNNNNNNNNNNNNNNNNNNNNNNNNNNNNNNNNNNNNNNNNNNNNNNNNNNNNNNNNNNNNNNNNNNNNNNNNNNNNNNNNNNNNNNNNNNNNNNNNNNNNNNNNNNNNNNNNNNNNNNNNNNNNNNNNNNNNNNNNNNNNNNNNNNNNNNNNNNNNNNNNNNNNNNNNNNNNNNNNNNNNNNNNNNNNNNNNNNNNNNNNNNNNNNNNNNNNNNNNNNNNNNNNNNNNNNNNNNNNNNNNNNNNNNNNNNNNNNNNNNNNNNNNNNNNNNNNNNNNNNNNNNNNNNNNNNNNNNNNNNNNNNNNNNNNNNNNNNNNNNNNNNNNNNNNNNNNNNNNNNNNNNNNNNNNNNNNNNNNNNNNNNNNNNNNNNNNNNNNNNNNNNNNNNNNNNNNNNNNNNNNNNNNNNNNNNNNNNNNNNNNNNNNNNNNNNNNNNNNNNNNNNNNNNNNNNNNNNNNNNNNNNNNNNNNNNNNNNNNNNNNNNNNNNNNNNNNNNNNNNNNNNNNNNNNNNNNNNNNNNNNNNNNNNNNNNNNNNNNNNNNNNNNNNNNNNNNNNNNNNNNNNNNNNNNNNNNNNNNNNNNNNNNNNNNNNNNNNNNNNNNNNNNNNNNNNNNNNNNNNNNNNNNNNNNNNNNNNNNNNNNNNUGGAUUGGUUGUAUAGGAGGGAGCCUUAUGACGCACAAUUGUGGAUUAGUGUUCCUACGAUAUCCUUGUGUGUAAGAUUAGUACCUAUCGAUGAAACUUAACACGAGAAGACUUGUUAGCCUGGAAUGAGUAAGCUAUUGACUGUGUGUGUGCUUUAUUUGUUUUAUUUCAAUUUUGCUCGGAGUGCAAAGUCAAGUCGGGGAUUGAUCAGUGCAUAUUUAUGCCACAUUCUCUACCUUUUUACUUAGGCAUUUCUUUAUUUUUAUUUUGUUUAUUAUAUUUUUUAUGUUUUCAUAUUUUUUUAUUUUUAGUUUAAUUUAAUUUUCGCACUUAUUUUCAGCUUUUUAGCAAGUCUGCGCGGAAACGAUCAUACUGGAGUUCCCGGAAUCCGUUUGAGCGCUUCUAAAAAUCGCGAAAGCUAAGAGAGAGAGCUACAACUUUUUGUUGGAGUCGAAGUCAAAUUCGGAGCUCAAAUUCAGAUUUCGUUUCAAGUUACAGCAUUAGAAUUUUAUUUUAGUUGGGUCAUGUUGUGGGUCUGGUAUUAUUUUCGACCCAGUUGGGUUUUGAACCGGAUCCACUUUCUUUUUUAAAGGAGAACGUGUGUACUUUCACGGGGGAGACUUAUUCACGCAAAAAAAAAUAUUGUUGUAGCUUGAAAACUCAUGGAGAACUAAUCCUCUUUGGACGGAUUCACUGUACUCAGGUUUCAACUUUGAGAUGUUAUGAUAUUUACAAUUUAUUUCUAUCCUUUCAAUUAUAUCAUGUGAUGUUGUUUGCUUAAUUCAAUUAUCAUAUAGUGGUAUGUUUUGAUUUAAUUUGAGUGAUCUGUGUUCCUAAUUUUAAUCGUAUAUUAACUCUGCUUACUGUUAAUGCUCUAUCAUUACCGUAUGCUUAAUCCGGCAAUAGGAACAUGUUCUCAUAAAAUGCUUCCAAGUUGUUGACAUGAUUUUUUUCGAUCAAAUAGAGAUAGAGUCCCGCUUGGGAAAUUGUAUUUCAUCGGUCGAUGCCGAUGAUUAGUAAGAACCGAGGCAGUGGAUCCGUUACUUUAAUCGCUUAUUUCACAACAACUUAUUUCAGUAAUCAAUUAUUUUAAGUGCUUUUUCUUUAUCGGAAACCUAAACCAAACCCCCCUUAAUUUUAUUAUUGUUAUUGAUUUUCCCACAAGAAUCCUUGAGAGACGAUAUUUCGAGUCAUGGUCGCUAUAUUACAUAUUUACAAAAACCACUCGUUUUUGAUCCGCGAGCGACCGCGGAUCACCUUGCUUGCUUUAUCAAAACAGAAGUUCAAUGAAGUGUAUGGUGAAGGUCUAGAAGCACUAGAUCUAAGAAUACAACCAGAUGAAGCUGAAUUCUAGAUCUGAAAAUUUUAAGAGAAAUGAAACUUACUUCUUUAGUGAUGGUUAGGGAAUGAAUUCUGCAGCAUAUCAGGUUGAAAUUAAGUGUGUAAUGGAAGCUCUCAUGCCAUGUAUUUAUAGCCAAUGCCAUGCUGAAAGUGUGAUUUCAAACUUGCAUGAAUGAAGGGGCCUCCAUGCAUGGGCCUGUACAAGCGCAUGGAGGGCCCAAUUCCACAUGGAUUGGCAAGCUGAGAUCAAGAAUGAAUGAAAUGGACGUGCAACUUUGAUGUAAUCAGCUCAUGCAUGGUAGUUGAAUCAAGUUUCCCAAAAAUGCACUUAAGGUUCUCCUCUUCGAAAAUGAUAUUUGCCAAAUCCAAAUGUAGCCAUAUGAGUAAUGGUUGGAAAGAUAUUGAUGUAAGGAACAAUUGUUAUGUUGGUCAAAAAUCCAUUUGGAAUGUGGAAAUUUAGGAAAUUUGAGUUUAAAGUGUGAUGUGCAAAACAUGUCAAGGCAAGGUUUCUAAAAUUGGCCAACUUAGAACAAUUGUUAUGUUGGUCAAAAAUCCAUUUGGAAUGUGGAAAUUUAGGAAAUUUGAGUUUAAAGUGUGAUGUGCAAAACAUGUCAAGGCAAGGUUUCUAAAAUUGGCCAACUUUCAAGCCCCUCUAUUUAGAUGAUGCAAGCUUCAAAUGGAAAAACCUCCAACAUCAAAAUUGUAUAUCUUUUCAAGAUAAUCAAGAUGGACUUAAGUUUUGCAUCAUUUGGAUUUUCGAUGCAGAAGUUAUGGGCACUUGAAGUUGAACUUUUUUGACUUUUAAUGCCUUUGACCCAAAAGGACCUAUAAUGUUUUGCAUUAUCACAUGUAUUUCCUUUGAGAUUUUGAAAUUUUGUUCAACAUAACAUUUUAAGUAGACAUCUUAAGAUUUACAAUGCAUUUGAUCCCACCUCAAAAUCAUAAAAAAUGAAUGAUUUAUGUCCUUGGGGAAGUUGACCCAAAAUUAGGGUUUCAGUCAAAAUGACCUAUAAUGUAUUGGAAUGGAAGAUGGUCUUCCAUGCUUCAAAUCAAAUUUUGAUGAACAUGAAAGUUGUUCAUAUUGUCCUUAAGAACAUAUUUUCUUUUGGAAUCAUCUCCAUUUGACAAACACAUCAAAAGUUAGGUCUCAGUACAUUUCAAAAUAGUCAGAUGAAUUGACUAAUCAACUUCUCAGGUCCAUAACUCAUAUCUUGAGGAAUUGAUGAUUGAGGACACUCAAAUAAGUUCAAAUAUGCAUGAAAUGAAGAGUUAAAGAACUUCCCUUGAUUGUAUUUGACCAUGGGCUGAGGUUGCUUCAUGAGCAAGGCAUUGUGGUAUGGAUUAGGGUUUCCUUGAAGAACAAGACUCAAACCUUUGACUUGCUUUGAUCAAAUGAUGAAUUGAGAUGCUAGGGAGGCAUAUUUGAUGGAUGAGAGCUUGGGAACCAUUACCAUGCUUGCUUUCAUCUCUUCUUGACCAUGUCUUUGUACCAAGGAUCUCCUAGAGGCUUUUGACCUUGUGAUUGCUCAAGCUACAAAUAAAAGAUGUUAGUGACAUAUUUUUGUGUUUUUGGUUAAUAAACAAAAAAUGAGAAAAGCAAUGAUAUACAAUUCAAGCAUGUUUGGUGAUCUCAAACCAUUCACAAGGAGUCCCAUCCAAAGGUAAAGGGAACCAAGAUGCUUAUGAUCCUUGAGGCAAUGCAAAUGCAAUGUUAUGAUGCCAUGAGGGAUCUUAGGGACAAAAUUAUGGUCUUACAAGUAUUAUGAGAUGUAGUUAAAUAUUUAUUUUGACGGGUGUACUAAGGAUUUGUGAUGGUUAAAAGUAAAUUAUAUAUUGUAACAAUUUUCACAGUGGUGUUCUCUAGACUUCCUUGCAACAACCGUGGUUUUUUUUAUGGUUUUGAAAUUUUCACGUUAUGUCUUUGUGUUGUAAUUGUAUCUUUUAUAUUUCAUUUUAUGCUAGUUUUUCACAAAAGUUGUCACAUAUUAGACAAACAUUCAGUGUUUUAAAAUCAGGACCAUUCCAAUCGGUUAGAUCGUGAACCGGAGGGUAGAGUGGUCUGGUAAGGUCAUCAAAUCAUAUUUGCAAUUGAUCCGAUAAAAACUGGUGUGACCCGGUCGGUUCACUAGUCAGACUAGUGAACAAGUGGAUUUCUUGAUCCGACGAGAUGAUCUUUUUAUGUUUAGUUUUUUAACUUAAUUAUAAUUUUGAUCUCUUAUUUUCAUUUUUCGAAAGUUUUGGUGCCCUCAUUUUAAAAUAUAAUUUUAUUAUUGUUUAUAAUUAUGUUAAUUAUCUAUAAUAACUAAGUAAUGUUAAAAUUGCAAAAAUGAAAUUUUGUCAAAUUUUAAGAAUUAACUAUGUAACCUUUCGAAACUAUUAGAAUUGUACUUUUUAUCAAAUGCAAUUUCUUUGAUGUUUAAUUUAAUCAAAGAAAAGGGAAUUAUAUAUUCUAUAAUUAUAACAUUUCUCUCUAAUUCAUUCUCAUUAAACUUAUUUUUUAUUAAUCACACAUUAUAUUAAUAUAAUAAAUUUAAAAAGUUAAAAAAAAAAUUAUACGAUAUAAUCAUGCUACAAAUUAAUAAAAAAAUUGAAAAAAAAAAUCAUAUUACCAAAGAAAAACGAAAUCAUAUUUUUACACUAUUUUCAGUAUGAAUUUCAUUAUUUUAAAAAAAGUUUAUAUUAGCUAAAAAAGAUGAGAUUAAAUUUUCACAUUAUUUUCUAUUUUUCUAUUCUUUCUUUUAUUUUUAACUAUUUAUACAUAGCAAAAUAUUUGUUUAUGAUAUAUAUUAAUUUAUUAGUUUAUUGCAUUAUUAUCUCAUACAACUUACUUUUCCAAAUUUUAUUAAUUUAUAAGUAUCAAAUAUUAUUAUGUUUGGAAGUUAUAAUUUUAUUUAAAAUUGUUAUUUAACUUAUAUAUGCUUGAAUUCAUUUAUAGAUUUUUUUUUAAAAUUUUACAGCUAUAAAAUUUAUUUGAAAAAAUUUAUUUUUUAAUUUGUAUAAGUUGAAUUAGAAGUCAUGCGCUCUAACCAAUUACCUAAUAGUCCAACCAAGAAUUUUGUAAUCCAAUAGGUAGAUCAGUUUGAGUUUUAAAAUGUUGCAAACAUUACCUAAUCACCGAUUACUAAAAUAAGCAUUUCUAAUACAAUUCUUUGUCAUUUAUAAUUCUAGAAAGAAAGAAAAAACUAGCAAAUGCCAAAAAUAAAAAAAUAAAAAGAAAUAGAGAAUUAAUUUUAAAAGAAAGAGGAAUAUGGUCUCACAAAAUCAUUAAAACUGAAUCAAUGUAAGGUUGCAGCUACUUCAUGUUUCUUGACCAUUAGUUAGGAAUAGGAUAAAAACAUACAUUUUUCAUUAGAUCCAAAUAUGGAAAAAUCACAACAAUAUCCUUAGAUUUCACAGAGAGAGAAAUCUCAUCUCACAUUACAAAACAUUAUUUUGAAAUAAAAUCCUAACAACAAAAAAUCAAUGACUGACAAUAAUACACUUGAAAUUCUGAAUCUCAGUACUCUAUAACAUGGUUUAUUUUGAAGCAUUAAAAAGGCUCUCAUAGCGACCUUUGAAUAAGGCGAAAAGUGGUUCUCUAGGAGGCAAACUUUUCUUCACAAUUUGAUGGUUGAGAAAUUCUUGAUUCCAUUUGUAAAGCUUUGGAAACUUUUCAGCAGUAAACAAUUGCAACCCUGAUAUCUCUUGAAUCAAAGGAAUCCAAAAAGCUAUGGCAACAGCAGCAAUAUCCACAAAACCAAUCUCUUCACCUCCGAAGAACUUGUCCUUCAACUCAUUCUCAAGAACCUUAAGAGCCUCAGAUGAUUCUUCCAUAUUCUUGUCACGCUCUUUCUCAUCAAUUGUGAAAACAGAUUUGAAUGAAGGAACCACAAUCUUUAACAUUUCAUAAUAUAAACCAUCAAAAUUAUUAGAACCAUUUCAAACCAACAUACAGAGAGAACAAAAAUGAAGAAAAUAUAUCAAAGAGGAAGUUACCUUGUCAUCUAUGAACUUGGUCCAGAAACGAGCCAAGGCUCUUUUGUAAGGAUCAGAAGGCAGGAUUGGACUUUGUUUCCAUGUUUCAUCAAUGUAUUCAAGAAUAACAAGGGAUUCUGAUAUGGGUUUUUCAUUGUGAACAAAAACCGGAACCUUUUUAUAAACUGGGUUAUAUUUGAGAAGAAGUUCACUUUUGUUAGGCAAUUUUUCUGGAAGAAAUUCAUAUUGAAUUCCCUUCAGAUUUAGAGCAAGUUGUACUCUGCACACAAAUGGGCUUGCAAGAGCUCCCAAGAGUUUCACAUCUUCCUGAUUUGUAGCCAUUGCAGCACUUCAAUUUUCUCUAUGAAUUUAGUAACUAUAUCAAGUGAGUUGUUUUGGUGUUUAUUUGUGGUAAGGUUUUGUUGUGUUUUAUAGAGUUUGGACAUUUUGAAUCUACACGUUGUCAUCUUUUGACUAGACGUAUGAAAGGAAAAGAAUUUAUGACUUUUCCUAUCAAGACAGUUGAGAAGAAGUGAUGUCACGGGUUACACCACCAGUUUAUUUUAACAAAAAUAAUUCAAUUAAGUGUAAUCAACAUGACAUUACUAACUGUAUUUUUCUAUAUAAGUGGGAACAAUAAUGUACAUAUGAGACUCUAAAUCGAUUUUUCACCAUUACAAUUUAUUCUUUAAAUUAUUUAUGUAUUUGUUUCUCUUGAUAAAUUUUAAGAGAUCGUAUUUUUUUUCAUAUUUAAUUCUAAUUCUCUUUUAAAAACAUUUAUUUUGAGUUUAGGAUUAAGAGAAAAAAGAAGAACUAAGUGGCGCAACAACCAACGUUAAGUAUUGAAUUUUUUAAAAAUAAUUUAUCUUUUUCAAAUAAAAUAUUAAAAUAAUUAUUUUUUCAAAAUAUUUAUUGGAAUAAUUAUUUUUCAUGAAACAUGUAUUAGUUGGACAAACGCGUCUAUUUUUUCCAUUGAGCAUAGACGUCCAUACAAUUGCCGCCCCAUGCAUGCAAUGAAGUCAAUGCAGUCCAUACAAUUGCCGCCCCAUGCAUGCAAUGAAGUCAAUGCAAUUGACGCAUACAUACAAUACAUCAUGUAUAUACGUCAUUGAAUGUGGCGCAGGCUAUAUAUAAUUUUAUUUUAUUUUAUUUUAUAUUUUAUACUUAUAAAUAAUUAAAUUAAAUUGAUAAAUAGAAAAUAAUUACUAAUAUUAUAAUAUGAAGUUAAAAUACAUAACAAUUGACAAGAAAAUCAAUUACAUGUCUGAUUGAAACGCCUCCAUGUUCCACAUCCCGGUGCGUUAGUGUGUCUUCAAGGUGUCCCGCGAUUUCCCUGAGGUGUUUGGGGUCUUUGAGUGCUGACAUGAUGCAAUGGUGACUGAAGUUCAAUGUUACAAUAUGGGCAGUUGUUCAGUGAUGCUUCAAAGAAAUUCAUUAAAGAGGAAGUUGUCAAAGCUAACACACAUGUGGUCACGGUGUUUGACCGUACUAAAGGUUGAUACAGUGUUGAUGAGUCAAUGGAUCACAACGAAGGCAUGUCGAGGGGACACUAUUGAGUGGAACUAGAUAGAGGUUGGUGUGACUGCAGAAAGUUUCAAGCCUUUCUAUGCCCUGCUCCCAUGUCAUAGCGGCAUGUUCAAUGGUUCGACGGGAUCCUUCCAAUUAACUAUCCAAUGUUUAUAAAGUUAUAAACCUUUGCAAUAUUUACAAAAUUAGAUUUUUAGUGGCAGCAAAAGGGGAUUAUUAGUCUGCAUAUCAAUGGGACAUUCUCUGGCACAAUGAAAUAAUGCGAAGAAAGAAAACAGUCGUCCAAAUAACACUCGUAUUCAAACUGAAAUAGAUACGGCAAACAAAAUGAUUAGAUUAUGUAGCUCAUAUCGUCAAUCUCGUCAUAAUCGUACUAGCUGUCCUAGUGUAGGAACAAGCACAACAAGAUAAUUUUAAUUGUAACUCUUUUGCUUUAUAUUAAAAAUAACAUUCAUUUCAUAUGAUAAGCAGAACAAAUACAAUAAUUAAACAACAACACAAGAAACUACAACAAAUAAAAUAACAUCACAAACAAAUACAACACAUAAACACUAUAACUAUGCGAUUACAACCAUCAAAACAAUUUUGUGAGACGUAUACAUCGUAUUGUGAUCGUCUCUGUCAGUUUUAAUAUUGACCCAGAAACGAACUUCUCCAUUUUGGUUGAACGUCGUAUCAAGCCAUUAAAUUCUUUUAAUCCUUUCACCAUAUGCAAUUUCUCCAUCUAACCAACGGUUCAAGUCUUGUUAGAUGUUCGAACAUAUCUACAUUCCAAAGUCGAAUCUUCAUCGUAGGCUGCACUGCUGAAAAAAUUAAAUCGGUAUUUCUCUUAUGAAUAUAAGGACAGAAGAAUGAAUAUGAAGACAUUUUAAAGAAAAUCGAAGGAGAAUGAAGAAAAAUGGAAGGAGAGGGUAAGAAGUUAUGUGAAAAAUUAUGGGAGGUGAAGCUUUGUAUUUAUAGAUGGAUGGUGGAGCAGUAGCCACAUGCAUUGAUACACACAUAGAAUGGAAUAUGCAUGCGCCAUUGCAUGUGGCGCCUACACAUGGCCUACAGAUGCAUGUGUCACUCCUAAUGGCGCCUUGGUCAUGGAUGUGUCAGUGCAUGUGGCGCCAAUGACUAGCAUUUUCAUUGGAUGCGUCAAUGCAACUGGCGCUUAGAAACAUGGUUAUUUCGGCAAAUAUUUCGAAAAAAUAAUUAUUUUAGAAAUUUAAUUGAAAAAAUAGGCUUAUUAAAAAAAUCUUAAGUAUCAAAUGAAAGAGCACUCCAAAAUUAAUAGUUAAGGAAGUAUUUUUCUCUAUAAAAGACCCUAACUCAGUUUAUGAAAAUGACUAAAAGAAAUUUGGAAGCAACCAUACAAAAGAUUCUCUUCCAUACAAAAGAUUCUCUUCCAUAUAAAAGACCCUAACUCAGUUUAUGAAAAUCGCUCAAUUUUCGACCAAUGUAUAAAUCAUAUACAUGUCAUUUCUUAAUUUUAUUUAAAGAAAAUCCAUCUAUUUCUUUGGUUGAGCUAGCAAACGAUGAGAAGAAUCUUUAAGAGACACACUUCAAAUUCCAAUAAAUACAAUUUUUGUAUAUAUAUAUAUAUGAUAGAUAGAUAGAUAGAUAGAUAGAUAGAUAGAUAGAUAGAUAGAGAGAGAGAGAUAGAUAGAUAGAUAGAUAUAUAUUAUACUUUAGUUGGCUAAAUAAUCUAUUAGUAUACUUUUUUAAAUAAUGCUCUCAUUUUUUUCAAUUAAAAAUUAAAUUAUAUCAAAGAGACUCCAUUGUAUGUUUUAUGUAAAUCUCAUGCUCAUUUUCAAGAAACUCUUUUUUUUACCAUCAAUAUUCGAUCCACUUGAUCGAUUAAUCCGGUUCAAGGAUUAGUUCUGACAUCAAGUUUUUUUAGGCCCCUUCCAAUUGUAGUUGUGAAGGAUCGAUCAUGGUUCUCCCUACCAAGUCUAGCGUCAAUCACCACUAGACCAAUUAACGUUUGGUAAGAAAAUCUUUUGUAUGGAAGAGAAUCCCUGACCUUUGAAGAAGUUCAAUCGACCUUGUACUCAAAUCAGUUGAAUGAAAGAAAGGAGCACAAACCAUUAUCUGUUGGUGAAAGAUUGUAUGUAAAAGGAAAAUUCUCGAAGAAGGAUAGUAAGUUUGAGAAGAAGAAGGGUAAAGAUCAACAUAAGUCUUAUGGUGGUAAUAAUCUUGCUAUUAGGUGUUACCACUGUAAGAAGAAAGGUCACAAAAGAAAAGUGUGUCAUGAUAGGUUGAAGAGUUAUAACGAUAACAAGGAUAAUAGAAAUGCAUUCAUUGUUCAACGUGAUUAUGAAUCAUCUGAUGUCCUGGUGGUUUUGAGAAACAAUCCUUGCAAGAAAUGAAUUAUGGAUUCAGGUUGCACUUGGCACAUGACUUCAAACAAGGAUGUAUUUGAGGAAUUAUGUGAUCAAGAUGGUGGAUUAGUGUUGCUGAGAAACAACAAUGCCAGCAAAAUUGCAGAUAUUGGAUCAAUGAGAUUCAAGUUUCAUGAUGAGUCAAUAAAGUUGUUGAUUGGUGUUAGGUAUGUAGAUGAUCUUAAUAGAAAUUUUAGUUUUCUUUGUGAAUUCGACAAGAAAGGAUAUUAUUUCAAAGGAGAGCAAGAUAUUAUGAGAGGCAUAAACGAGUCAAAGGAAGUCUUGAGAGGCAUUAAGAGGCAAGGCUUAUAUAACCUUGAGGUUGAGGUUAUAAGUGGUUCAACAGAUCUUGUAUCCACAAAGCCUGUGUCGAAGACGGGGCUAUGGCACAUGAGAUUGAGCCAUGUAAGUGAAAGGGGCUUGGUCGAACAUCUAGGUGGUGACAAGGUUGAAAAGCUUGAGUUUUGUGAACCUUGUGUAUUUGGAAAAUCUUACAGAGUGAAGUUCAAUAAAGGCAAACAAAGAACACAUUGAUCCAUUGAUUACAUUCAUGCUAAUCCUUGGGGGGCAGCAAGAAGCUUGUCACAUUCAGGUGCAAGAUAAUUUGUAUCCAUAAUUGAUGAUUAUUCACGAAAGUUAUGGGUAUUCACUCAGAAACUAAGGAUGAAACUUUUGAAAAUCUCAAAAGUUGGAAGACUCUAGUCGAAAAUCAACCUGGCAAGAAGGUUAAGAGAUUGAGUAGCGAUAAUGGCCUUGAGUUAUGCAAUGAAGCCUUCGAUAAUCAUUGAGAUAUAUCUGGUAUUUCUAGGCACAAGACUGCAGUUGGUACUCCUUAGCAAAAUGGCAUGGCUGAGAGGUUCAAUCUUACAAUCCUAGAUAGGGUUAGAUGCAUGACGGUCACUGUUGAAUUGAAUAAUGUGUUUGGGGCUAAGGUUAUCGUAACAAUAACAUAUAUGAUAAAUAGGUGUCCCUCGAUUUCCUAGGGAAUGAAUACACCUAAAAAAGUUUGGUCGUGCCAUCCACCAGAUCUCGACAAUCUUAGGUUAUUUGGAUGUGUAGUUUAUGCUCACAUUAGGCAAGACAAAUUCGAGCCUAGAGCUCUGGUAUGCAUGUUUCUUGGGUAUCCCGAGGGAGUCAAAGCCUGUAGGUUGUGGUGCUUAGAACUAGGUCAUAUGAGGUGUAUCACAAGUCAUUAGGUGGCUUUCGAUGAAGCAAAUAUGACAUUCAAGAAAACUGAUGAUGUUUGUCAAAAUGAAAAGAUCUAUGAAGAAGAGCAAGAACGAAAAGAGUUUCCUAUUAAGGUGGAACACUUGGGAAAUGAAGUGGAUAAUCAUGAUGAAAAUCCAUAUGAAGUUGCUGAAGAAGCAGAGAAUGAUGAAGCAAAUGAGGAAAGUAUUGAUGACUAUAUGCUGGCAAGAGACAGGUCAAGAAGAGUCAUCAAGCCACCUCAGAGGUUUGGUUAUGUAGACCUCAUACCUUUUACCUUAAUUUCUUCAAGUAAUGUUCUCGAUGAAGAACCUAGAGAUUACAAAGAAGCUACGGGGAUUCAAAAUAAGAAGGAAAAGAUGAAAUCCAUAGAUGAUGAGAUAAAAUCUCUUCAUGAUAACCACGCCUGGAAGUUGAUCGAAAAAGUUGCAGAGGCCAGGUUAGUUAGUUGUAAAUGAAUUUCAAAGUAAAGGAAGGAAUUGAAACAGUUAUGGCGAAAAGGUUCAAAGAGAGACUGGUUGCACGGGGUUUAACUCAGAAGGAAGGAGUGAACUUAAAUGAUGUAUUCUCUCUUAUUGUGAAAUACAUAUCCAUUAGAAUGAUCUUUGUUAUGGUGGCUAGGUUCGACCUAGAACUGGAGCAGAUGGAUGUCAAAACUGCUUUUCUAUAUGGUGAUCUAGACGAAACAAUUUUGAUGAACAAAUCCGAAGGGUAUGAAGCAAAAGGUAGGAAAUGGAAUAGGAGAUUCGACAAGUUAAUGGCACACUUAGGUUUCAGAAGGAGAAUCUUUUAUCAUUGUGUUUAUUUCAGGUUGUCACCUAAAAAUUCACUCGUCAUCCUAUUGCUCUACGUAGAUGACAUCCUCAUGGCAAACACCCCCUUCGAAGAAGUAAUGAGGCUGAAUGUCGAACUUAACCAAGAAUUUGAAAUGAAUGACCUUGGAAUUGCAACCAGGAUUUUAGGUAUCAAUACCAAGAGAGAUAGGAAGUAAUCGAAAUUAUGCUUAUCUCAAGAGUCGUACCUAAGAAAGAUUCUCGACAUGUUAGGUAUGUCGAACUCAAAACCUAUUAUAAUGCCAACUACUCGGGAAUUCAAGCUGAGUAUAAUUGAAAGUUCUAGUACUGAAGUCGAAAGGACCUAUAUAGAUAACAUUACAUAUGAUAAUAUAAUAGGUUCUUUGAUGUAUGUUAUCGUAUGUACUAGGCUAGACAUAGCGUAUGCAUGAGCCUUGUAAGCAUGUACAUGGUACACCUUGGAAAGCCGCACAGGCAAGCCUUGAAAUGGAUCCUAAGAUACAUAAAAGGAUCUUUAUACAGGGUCCUGGUUUAUAGUGGAGCCAAUGGCGAUGAUAACAAAGUUGAAAUCGAAAGAUUUGUUGACUCUAGUUAUGCAGGAUGUAUGGAUAACAUAAAAUCUCUUUUUAAAUAUGUUUGCACUAUGUUUGGUACAAAAAUAAGUUGGAAGACUACAUUUAAUAAGGUUGUGGUCUUAUCAACCACUGAAGCAAUUUCCCUCACUGAAACUAUAAAAGAAGCAUUGUGGCUUGAAUGGUUUGCUAAAGAAUUGAACUUAAAGGUCAAACAAACAUUAUUAAAUGUGAUAGUCAAAGUGGUAUAUAUUUGUUGAAGAAUCCAACCUAUCAUGAGAGAACCAAACACAUUGAUGUUAGGUUGCAUUUCGUUAGGGAGAAAAUCAAAAGGGAAGAAGUCAAAGUAAUGAAGAUCUCGACUGAUCACAAUAUUGUUGAUAAUCUCGUUUAUGUCGUUCUUGACAUCGAUUAUCACAACCGUUUCUUCUAAUAGCUUGUCUAUAUUAUGGCAUUGUAGUUCUUUUCUCUUAUAUUUUUAUUUCUUUGGUUGGAUUGGUUUACCUUUUGGUUUAUUUUGUGCCACUUGCCUAAUCAUCUGUACUUGAACUUUUGUUUUUAAUAUAUUAUUUUUCCUUUUAAAAAAAUCAUUAAAACUGAAUCAAUGUAAGGUUGUAGUUACUUCGUGUUUCUAGACCUUAGGAAUAUAUGAUAGAAAGAUGUCUUUUUCUUUAAAUCCAAAAAUGAAAACAUCACAAGAAUAUCCUUAGAUUUGACAUAGAGAAAUCACAUCUCACAUUACAAAACAUUAUUUUGAAAUAAAAUCUAACAACAAACACUCAAUGACAGAUUAUAAUAAUGGCUCAUGCAUAUGAAAUUCUGAAUUUCAUUACUCUAUAUAAGCUAUAGCAUGAUCUAUUUUGAAGCAUUAAAAAGGCUUUCAUAGCGACCUUUGAAUAAGGCAAAAAGAUGUUCUCUAGGAGGCAAACUUUUCUUCACAAUUGGAUGGUUGAGAAAUUCUUGACUCCAUUUGUAAAGCUUUGGAAACUUUUCAGCAGUAAACAAUUGCAACCCUGAUAUAUCUUGAAUCAAAGGGAUCCAAAAAGCUAUGAACACAGCAGCAAUGUCCACAAAACCAAUCUCUUCUCCUCCAAAGAACUUGUCCUUCAACUCAUUCUCAAGAAACUCAAGUGCCUCAGAUGAUUCUGCAAUAUUCUUCUCACGCUCUUUCUCAUCAACUGUGAAAGCAGAUUUGAAUGAAGGCGACACAAUCUGAGCAAUUCAUAAAUUGAAGCGUCAAAAUUAUCAGUACAAUUAACUAUUUCAACCAACAUAAGAGAGUACAAAAACUAAAAGUUAUCAAAGAGGAAGUUACCUUGUCAUCGAUGAACUUUGACCAGAAACGAGCCAAGGCUCUUUCGUAAGGAUCUGUAGGCAAAAUUGGAUUUUGUGUCCAGGUAUCAUCAAUGUAUUCAAGAAUCACCAGAGACUCUGAUAUGGGCUUCUCAUUAUGAACAAAAACCGGAACCUUUUUGUAAACUGGGUUAUAUUUGAGAAGAAGCUCACUCUUGUUCUGCAAGUCUUCUUUAACAAAUUCGAAUUCAAUUCCCUUCAGAUUAAGAGCAAGGUUUACUCUGCAUACAAAUGGGCUUCCAAGAGCUCCCAAAAGCUUCACUUCUUCCUGAUUUGUAGCCAUUGCAGCACUUCAAUAUUCUUUCUGAAUUUAGUAACUAUAAAAUGAGUUUAUAUUGGUGUGUGAGUCCUAAGGUUUUGUGGCCUUUUAUAGAGUUUGGAAGACUAAUUUUGUAAUUUUGAACCUGUCACUUGUUGACUAGGUGUCUUGAAGGAAAAGAAAAAGUGGGAUUGACAAGAAUUCAUGCCUUCACUGUCAAGACAUUGGACAAGAAGUGAUGUCAUGGGUUACAACACCAAUUUAUUUAUAAAAAAAAUAAUUGAAUUAAGUUUGAUGAAUAAUGAUCAACCUAACAUUAUUAAUUGUAUUCAUUUUCAUAAGUGGGAACACCUUAGACUAUUUGGUUAUGAGAACAUUUUUCUUAUGGCAUCUACCUUUAGCAAACCAAGCAUAUUUAGUUUUGAUUGUUGGCUUGUUGCAUACUCCAAUUGGAGUUAGUGAAUAUAGUGGUUGAGUUUUUGUUUUUCAUGUGAAGGCUCAUGGUUUAAAAUUUCAAAUAUGAUGUCUAUACUAAAAAAUGGACUAUAAGGGUUUGUUUGAUUCAAUUUUAACUUUUUUUAUAAAAAAAUUAUUUAAUAAAUUAGUUUUAAGAAUUUUUUUUAGGAUGAAAACAAAAUAAAAAAUUAUUUGAAAGCUGUAUUUUGUAAAACUAUUUUUGAGAUAAUAAAAGAAAAACUUGUUUCGUUGAUUUGUUUUUAAAAACUAAUUCAAAUAUCGUUUGAUUUUUACUAAAAAUAUAAAAUCAUCUCUUUCAAUCUAUAUAAUAGUAAUCAAUUAAGCUAAUUUAUUUUUUUGAUUUAAAAUUUUAAACAUUUAUUUUACAAUUGAGAAAAUGGAUGAUACGGUGAUACUGUAAAUUAAGUUUAAACUUUCAAUUAAUAACGAUUAUAUCCCGCUAAGUCAUAUUAAAUUUUUUAAAAUUAUUUAUAUGAUAUAACAUAAUGAUAUAUUUUUAUUGGAUGUUCGUGGAAAAACUUUUUUACUAGACCAAUACAUCUCCAUUAAACUCUUUAUAAUUUACUUUAAUUUAUUGUAAAAUACUAUUUGCAAGAUAAUUUUAUUCCAAUCAUAUUAUUUUAUUUGUGUUUUGUUAAUUUAAUUUGUUUAAAAGGGAUACAAUUUACAAAUUAUUAUAAUACAAUUUUACAAAUUUUUAUUUGUUUUCUAUAAGUUAAAUAUUUUUAAGUAUAAUUUCACGGAUUGUUAAUGUAAAAAAGAUAAACAAUCACAAAAUAAAUACAUAAACAAAUGAUAAUUGAAUUUUAUUAAAAAAUAAAAAAUAGACAAAUAUAUAAUGUACAUGUUAUAAACAUGGAAAUAUCCAAGCAAUUAAAAUGUGUUUCGAUAUGCAAACGCAAUAUUUUUCAUUUGUUGAGUUUUUCCAGUGCAAAUAAUUCCCUUAUGCAUAUGAACAUAGCAAAAACACAUUUUUUAUUGGAAAUUCAUAUUUAAUAAAUCAAUGUAAUUACGAUCAUGCCAUUAAUGAAAAUUUACAAUUUUCCGCGUGUUUUCAGUUUUGGUGUUUUAGAAAUUCAAAAGCAAAACAACUUUUAUGAGUUUUGGUUUUUUAGUUUUUAAAACUAAAAAACAAAAACAGUUUUCAAAACUACUUUUUUAAAAACUAUUUAUUAAAUGAGUUUUUACUUUUUCAAUUUUCAAAAACUAAAAAACUGUUUUUGAAAAGGGAAUCAAAGAGACCCUAAAUAUUUUAUUUUAUCCCUUAUCUAUAUUUCAGAGUCUAUUUUGAUUUCUUGACAAUUAAAAAUAUUAAUUGAAUCUCUUAAUUAUUCAAACGUGUCAUAUAAGUCAUUUUCAUUUAAUUUCCACUAAAAAUGUCUAUUUAUACACACGUGGCAUCCUACAUGGCAACAUAGUCAUCACUUUCUUUGUUUGAUUUAUUUUUCUUCUCAUAUUCGUUCGCAGGUUAGAACCCUAAAUUGAUUUAGGACAUAAAUUCGUGAAUCCGUACAUUCACUACAACAAAAAAUCUCUUUUAACUCGGUUAGAAAUUAGGGUUAACCUCAAUUUCGUAUAUGAGGUAAUGAAUAGCAUCAUGAAAUGUGCGUCAUUUUAUUGCUUGGACCAAACUCCAUUGAGGAUAAAGACUUAAUGUCAUGAGUUCGAUCCCCAGGAACUGCAUUUGUAUUAUUUUGAAACUGGAUGAUGCACCCUAUAUUUUCUCUUGGUUAUAAGAAAAACCGAGGUAAUAGAAAAGUAUUUUUACCUUUGUAAUAAUAAUCAAGGGAAAUUUUUUUAUUUUAUUUUAUAUUUAUUUUUCUAUAUAUUUUUUGUUUUAACCCGUAUUACAAAAACAAUUUCCCCAUUUUUGAAACAGAAACAUUAUACCUAUUUCCCAUUUCUCAAACAAAAAUAUUGUACCAAAAAUAUUCGUUGUUUACACCAAUUACAAAGUCAAAAUGACACACUCCGUAUAAUUUUACAACAAAACUAAAACAAAUUAUUGACCAACAAAAUAAAUGACCAAAAAACAAAUUCUUGUAAGCCAUUCAAAAUUUCUCUUAUGUGAUCUGUAAAUGGUCUUUAAGGAGUUAUAAUUUGAACAACAUUUGAAACCAAUUAAGAUAAUCAUCACCAUAAACAACAACAACAUUAAAUCUUUAACCAUUGUUCUUAACAACUACAACAACAACAAUAACAUUCAAAAUUCAAUCUCCAACAACAACUUCAUACUUCAAUAUCAACAACAUGCAUCAUAUUACACUUACUUUAGAGGCUUUUAAUUUUUUGACUUUUACUUCUAAAAUCAUGCAACAUAGGGUAUCCUUCGACAUCUCUACAUGUUGGAAAAAAAUAUUAGUAAAAAGAAUAAAAAAGUGAAAUGAAUAAAUAUAUAUUACCAAGUGAUAUAAAAUAUUUAAUUACUAGUUUCCGCAUAUCCUCUCUUGAUGAUCAUGACGAAUAACAUGCACAUCAUCUGAAUCAUAUUCGUCAAAUGAGAGACCUACAUGUGCUGCAAAAUAAAGAAUCUCAAAAUUUAAAUCUUGAUUUUCAUCACUAUCAGGAAUAUAUUUUCCUUGUAGAACAAUUGACCAUCUAGCGUUAGAAGGAUCAAUCAUAACUAGUGAACAAUUGACCCCAAAGUAUGCUCUAGAUGUCAGUACAUGAUUGUUAUCAUUGGAAGUAGUGAAGUACGUGGAUUCAAUGUCAACCAUAACUCCACUAUUUUGUAUGGUACUAGGAUCAUCCUUUGAUUUUGAAUAUAAUGAAAAUUAAGUAAUGUCGUAUGUUCUCAAAGUUAUUACAUUAAAAUUAGGCACAUAUGACAUUCAUUUAAUUGUCUCUAAUGUACUACUCUCUUUAAAAACUCUUUCAUUAAACCAAUUUAUGAAAGUUUUGUUAUACUUUAUCAACAUCCAUUUCUCACUCAUUUGGGGGAAUUUCCCUUGAUACUACUUUUGUGAGAGGACAAGUAAGAUUGAACUUCAUCAACGAUAUUCAAUAUAUACAAAUGUGCUUGGAGAACUACAUCUUUGUGCAAUGCUUUAACAUUUAAACCUUAUGUGCCUCUACCUACAUAUCUUCCAUCAUAAAGAGACUUGAGGAUUCCUAUAGAGUUUUCUUUUGACAAAUAGUUUGUACAAAACUCAAUAGCUUAUUAUGUGAUGUACCGUUCAACGAUUGAAGCUUCUGGACAAUGACGAUUCUUCGUAUACCCUUUAAAUAUAUUCAUGUAUCACUCUACUAGAUACACUCACCUUAAAUAAAUCGGGCACAAAAUAUAACACCCCUUACUAUAUGAACAACUAAGUGAACCAUAAUGUCACAAACUGAUGGAGGGAAAUACAUCUCUUAUUGACACAAGAUAAUUGUAGCCUCAUGUUCCAACUCAUAUAAAUUGUCAGGAUCAACGACUUUACUACAUAUAACAUUAAAGAAUAAGAACGGUCUUGUUAUAUUUACCCUUACAAAAUUUGAGAAAAUGCCACAAAUAGUCACUGUUAGCACUUGUUGCAUCAAGACAUGACAAUCACGAUACUUUAAGAAAACUAAUUUCAGAUCUUUCAUUGACACAAGUUUCUUAAAAAUUGUUGAGUAUCCUUGGGGAACUUUGAUGCCUUGCAAAUAAUCGAAAAACUUUUUUUCCCUUUUUAGACAUAAUAUGACAUGCUGGUGAGAAAAUAUUUUAUAUUUCUUAUUUCUUUUAGUGCUAACUCUUGUCGUAUACCCUUCACCACCAUAUCUAGACGGGAUUUCUUACUAUCUUUUGUCUUGCCUUUAAUGUUGAGAAGUGUUCCAAUCAAACUAUCACAUAAAUUUUUCUCCACAUGCAUAACAUCAAAACAAUGUCUUACUCUGAGACUAGACCAAUAUGGAAGAUGAAAUAACACCGACCUCUUUUUCCAAAUAUUUUUCUCCAAGGGCCCUUUUUGUUUCUUUCCAAAGACAACAUUAAUGUAUUGUUGUCUAUUAUAAUCUUCCUUCCCAGUUAAGGUCUUUGGAGCGAUAUCAAACUCUUACUUCCCAUUAAAAGCCUUCCUCAAUCAACGGUAUGGAUGAUUAGGUCUUAGAAAUUUUGGAUGCCCAAGGUAAACAGUAUUUUUUCCAUUUUGUAAUUGGUGGGAGCAUGUAUAAUCUUCACAUAUAUAGGACACACUUUAUGUCCCUUGAUGUUGUACCCGACAAAUUACCAUAUGCAGAAAAGUCAUUGAUUGUGAAAAAUAACAUGGCACAUACCUUAAAGUUAUCACAUGUAUGCACAUCAUCAACAUCAAUGCCUUCCUCCCACAAAAGUCUUAAAUAUUCAAUUCAAUAGCGUCAAAUAAACAUAUAUGUCAUUCUCUGGUUGCUUCCUGCACAACCACAAAGAUAGGUUGUAAAUUAUGAGAAGAACAUGUCGUGAAGUAUGGUUAGUACUCAAAUUACCAAACAGGUUCAUUCUGGAAGUGGCAAGUCCAAGCCUAAGGUUCCUUUCCUCAAGGGAAAAAUCUGGAAACAACGAAUCAAUUUUCUUCCAUUGUUAUGAACCAGCUACAUAGAAAAAAUUUCCAUCACAUACUCUUUCAUAUACAUGCCAUAUAGUAUUCUUUGAGUCAUUUACAUUAGAAAACAAUGCCUUGAAUCUUUAAAUUAUCGGUAGGUACCAUAUCACCUUGGAAGGAACACCCUUUCUAGUUAGACCAUCAUCGUCUUCAGCACCAUUGUCCUUCUUAUUGUAGCGUGACUCCCCACACCUCAUACACUCCUUCAAGUUUUCAUACUCUUUCCUAUAUAAUAUAAAAUCAUUACUACAUGCAUGUAUUUUGAUAUAGUCCAAACAGAAAGGACAUAAUAUCUUUUUGGCCUCAUAACUACGGUCCGACAACAUGUUACCGUAUGGAAUUUUUUUUGCAACAAUUUAAGUAAUUCAGUAAAUCUUUUAUCUAUCCACACACUUCUUGCCUUAAGAUUAAAUAGUCUUAACAUAGCCCACAAUCUUGUAGAUUUUUUGCAUCCUAAAUAUAACGACUCUUCCAUGUCUCUUUGAAAAUUAUCUUCCACACGGGCUUUCUUAAACGCAUCUACUAAAAUAUCACGAAUCAUAUCUUCUAGAGUAUCAUUCAUGAAUUUAUCAACUUCAAAUCCAUGGGACACAUGUCUUUUUUUUGUCACUCACCAUGACAUACCUAUUCCGUAUAAUUUUGAAUAAUUCUAUCAAAACCUAAAUGAUUGAAUAUAACAUCGUUUGGAUGUUUUUGUGUAUUAUGACAAUUUUUACAACGACACUAAAAAAUCUAAUUAUUAUUAGGAAGUUUUUUUCUCCGUAAAUUCAAGAAGUUGAAUCACUCCAUUUUCAUACUCUUUACUUAACUUAUUGGCUUUAAUUCAACUGCAUAAUAACCCACACCUUCUAAAAAUAAAAUAAAAAUCGUACACAACCAACAUAAAUGAACAUUCCAACUCCAUAAAAUAACAAUAAUAAUAAACAACAACAACUACAAAUACCUGAAAAACAACACUAGAUUACACUCUAAGACUCAAAAACCAUAUCAACAACAACAACAACAUUACUAGUACAACCAUGGUGAAAGUUUUACGUAGUGGAAACGUGAUGAGAUAGUGAAAGAAAAGUGUUUGUUUAAGUUCGAGCUUCCAUCCUCCUUGGAGAAGAUGAAGAAUGUUGUUUCUUUUGUUUGCUAGGGAGCAAAAAAUUUAUGAUACAUAAUGGAAAUUGAAUGAGACUUAACAAUAUGAUUGAAUAUUGUUUAGAGUUUACAUCUCAGUUUUAAAAAAAAACCGAGGGAACACAACUGAGGUAAAAAAUGAGUUCAAUUUAAUUAAAUAAAAUAUCAUUCAACAUUUCAUGUUGGUGUCCUAGAAAAUUGAGGGAUAAGAUGAUUUAUAAAAUAAGGGCGUCAUUUUGGUUCUAACUAAGACACGAACUUGCAGGAGCUAGGAAUUGAAACUUAAACCUUGAGUUACAUUUUUUAUCUGUUUUCUACAAAACCAAGGGAUAAUAUUUAAUUUUAAAAUAAAAUAAAAUGGCGUGUUCCAGGUAAUUUGAACUUGGUUUUUCAUUGGCUGGUGUGAAAGCUUUAACAUGAAAUGUAUUAUUUUUAGUAGUGAUUGAAUCGAAGGAAAUAAUGAGUUAUAGGUGUUGUUCAUCCUUGCGAAGGGGAAGAGUUCUGGAAGUUUGGAUUCAAAUUUAUACUCAAGUUCCAAGAAGUGAUGGAGACCCAAUUUUCAUUGUGGAGACAUUGAUAUGCUUCGUAGGGAAACAACACUUAGAAAUUAUGGAAAGCAAUUCACGACAUGUCCCUAUUUUAAGGUUACCUAGUUUCCAUAUUUUGUCAUUUUUGCUAGUGAAUUUAUGGGUAACAAAUGUGUUUGUUGAUGUACACAGGGCUCUACCCAAACUGGGCAGGGUUUGUAACACCCUAAAUCCUGAAACUUAUAUGCAAAGGAUUACUCGACAAUUUAAGGCGUUAUCAACGAAAACCCUUCAACAAAACAUAAGCAUUUUGAAAACAUGAAGCGGAAAAAUAAGAAACAUACAACAUCUUCCAUCACUUGCUCACUUUCACUUAGAGUAUCAUCGCAGCGUAAUCACAUUAAUCGCGAUAAUAAAACAUGUUAACUACAAAUUGGGUCUUAUAAAGACUUAACUUUCACAAAAUGAUUCAAACGAAAUUUCAAUAUCUAGCUCUCAACGGUUUCAAAAAGACUCAACAUAAUAGUUAUUAAACUUAAACAAAACACGUAAGUCAACAUCAAACAUAAUAAUAGAAAACAUUUUUCGCUCCCAGUGUUAUAGAAUCGGAGCAUAUUGAUUAAAAAUGAGAUAACUAAUGAAAAUAACUCUAAACGUUAUUUACCACUUACAAUAGCAACUAUACUCCUGAGUAUCUGCAAGAUGUCCAUGGUGGACAAUAUCAAAGCAAAGGGGGUGAGAAUUCACAUCAAUAGUUUGAACGACAUAAGCUGCAAGGUAUAAUUCAAACAUCCACAUAUUCAAAAAUAAUCACAUAAUAUCAUUCUCACACCCAAUCCAUCAACAUACACAAAGCAAUCACAUAUUCAUCAUUUAAAUUAUGCAAUAAGGCUAACAACUUCAACCAUACUCAUAUGCAUGUGGUACCAUAUCAUCACCAAUUGGUUCGAUCAGGAAUCGAGUUCAUCAUGCUCAAACCCUGAAUCCACUGUGUUCGAAUUCAGGACAAGUCACCAAUCCACCCUGCUCAGAUUCCAACUUGCCUCUUUCAUCAACAACAACAACAAUAUAAUGAAUGCAUGUCACAACACUUCAAUGCAACAACAACAUAAUGUUUAAAGUCCCUUCCCGAUAAUAAACAAAGCAUGCAUUGACCCAACAUAAUAGUUACCCUUCCGAAGUAUCACCCUACAACAACAUACUCAUAAUUCAACAACAUAAUUCAUGCUUGCACAUCAAUAUAUCAUCAUCACAAUCCAUAAAAAUUAACACAACAUCAUCAUCAUGUGUGCACAUAUCCAUCAUUCAUCAAAUAAAUCAUAGAUUCAUUUAAUAUCAUCAAAACAAGCAUCUACACUCACUGAAGACACAUGACGGGUUACUUGUCAUGGUUGUGGAGCCCUCCACUGACCUCAACACUUCAGAGCAUAACCUAUGUAACGAUCGACUUAGAAAACAAGCAUGACCAGCUUGACGGGUUACCCGUAAUCAGCGUGACGCCUCUCAUCGACCUGCAACCUGCAAAAUUCGUCUCUUCCAAUGGAUUUCAAUGCAGAACUCAUAUUUCUCAAUCAAGGCAUAUAAAAUCGAUCCAACAUAUUACACACAUGUUAUAUAGUUAUCAGUAACAUCUGCAUACAUAAAAUUAACACCUCUAAUUCAUGGUUUUCGUAAAAUCAUAUUAGUCCCAAAAUCUUCAAAAUAGCAACAAUGGUGGAUAUAUGUUAACUCAUCUAAACAGAAUGUAUCAUACAUCAUAGCACACAAAUUUUAUCACCAAUCAUCAGCAUAUUCAACAAAUCAAUCAUCAAUAAUAGAAUUAUGUUAAAAUCCCAAUGCCCUAUUGAAGGUUAAGGAUUGCUUAAUUUUAUCCCUCAUACAUAUACAUGUUAUUGAGAUAGUUCUCCCCCUUACCUGGUUAUCCUAGCAACAGUGCAAAAUUCUAGUUUUUGAUUCUCUAAUCUCCUCCAAGUUCUAAGCCUUCUCUUGCAUUUUCUCUAGCCUCUUCUCUAUUAUCCAAUUCUAGGUAUAUGUAAUGAUAAAACUCUUUAAAACUAGGUUAUGUAUUCUAAUUUAUAUCAUUAGGAUAAAUCUUAUUAUAAUUUUAAUCCUGGACAAACUCUUAUUCCUCUUACUCCUUCCCCCCUUCUACUCCUCAUAAAUCAAACUUUGUCCCCAAACCUUCUAGUUUCUAUUAAAUUAAAUAAAUCUAACAAAAUACUAUUAUUUUAAUUAUUAAAAUAAACUCUAAUAAUUUAAUCAAACUAUACUAGCCCCUAAUUACUCUCCACUCCCCGCACAUCAAUGUCACACAUCCCCACCAUCCUUAUUUAUUUAAAUAGUAUUACCCAUAAAUUAUUAUGAUUCAAAUACUUGGGGAAUGAAUCCUCACAUGUAGGCAGUCACAACCUAGGGGGCAGGACAAAGAACACACUAGAAGAACACAUAAACUUGAAUAUGCCUUCACGACUUUGAGAAAUGACAAAAAAAUACAAAUCUUUAAAGUUCUUGAAGUUGUCAAUAAAAACUUUAAGCAAAUAAACCCUAUUCUUAUACUCAUACAAAUAUUGGAAUACAUGUACAUAUGCCUAGCUCACUAGGGACAAUUGAGGAGGGGAAAUAUUGAGGUUAUUUAAAACCCUUAUUUUGAAGUCAUUUAUAGGAAUUUUAAACCCCAUCAUGGAGAACAAGCACUCGUGAAGAGGAAGUGAUCAUUUGUAAAAAUAGUUGCACAACCUCUUACUAGGCUCUAUGUGAGACACCGACCAAUUAGAAGAUAAUCUAACCACAAUUUUCAUGGGUUGGACAAAGUUUCAAGGAUAUAGCAACGACUCAUUACACUAUUUAAUACCUUUAUCCACCGCAUAUUUAUGUUGGUAUAAGACGAAACUAGUUGUUGGUAUAUGUCUAUUUUUCUUUUACAAAGAUUUCUUUCCUAUAAUUUAUAAUUUUUAAUAAUUAAAUUUUUGCAAUACUUUAUAUAUGCACCACACAAAAUUUAAAACAUCAAAGAAAAUUUCAAAUAUAUUGUCAAAAUAGCAAAUCUUACAAAUAUAUAAAAAUAAAAAAGUAACGUCAAUUAUAUAAUAACAAUUACCAAAAUAGAUGUUACGACAACAAAACAAAAUUCAAAAACAUAUAUAAGGUAAAAGCAAUUUCUAAUAUUCCCCUCUUUCAUCUUCAUCGGUGCAUGAACUUCGAGAAUUUGUCUAGUUUGGGGCACUAGAAGCAUUUGUAGUCAAUUGAAAACAAAAUAAAAUAAAUUACAAACUCAACUUAAUAAAUGUUUUCAUAAUAUUCGAAAUAUGAACUCGAAGAGUACAAUAUAAUAUAAUUGUCUUGAAGCUUGUAAAAUAACAUUCCAAUCUUCUUGAUAUAAUCGAUUUUGUAUCAUUGCCAUCAUAUUUACCAUAAACACAUUUGUCAUCUCUUGACUUUCUCGCAUUUUCUUAAGUUCCUCCUAAACUCUUGAUUUUCAGACAAAGAAGCUUUUGAUUUUGUAGUUUUGGGAAUAUUGCCUAUACAACACACAUGUCCCCUUUUUUCAGAUCCUUUUACUUAGGAAUAAAUGUCAUCAUUUCAAGACAUAUGACUUUGUAUCUUUUGGACCAAUUGAGAAGUUGCAUCCCCAUUAUUAUGUUUGUUUAGUUCUUUCUGAAAUAUUAUAAUAAAUAGGAUAAUACAAAAAACAACAUGGGAUGAACUAAAUAAGAACAUCGAUACUUGUCAAACAACAAAGAGAAUAUCAGCCAAGUAAAGCUUAAUUUUUUGUCCUAUAAACAUAGUAGAAUGAUGUUGAAGUAAAAAUGAACAGGUUGAACAUAAUUAUUUAUUUAAAACAUAAACAAUUACAUUAUAAAUCCAUAAAAGAAACCAUAGUUGAAUUCAAAAUCAGGUGCAAGAUAUUCUACAAUAACAAUCAGGUUGAGCUUUCUUGAUAGUUCAAACUCAGAAUACUAGAGGAAUAUAUAAUCCUAACACAUUGACAUCAUACUUAGAGAUUUCUAUGAAUCUUAAUCAGUAACCAACUAGUUUCAUAAAGCUAGAUACUCUUUAAUAUAAUACAUAUUACAUUGUUGCCUUGCACAACAAAAAACAUCAUCUAAAAUCAUAUGGUUUGCUUUUAACUAAAAUUUAUGUAAGCUUGAAUAAGUAAAUUUUGUGGUUUAUGCAUUUCACUUGUCUUUACUAUAAUCAUAUUCUAAAUAAUGUUAUGUGAAAAUUGUGCACUUUUUUCUCUUUAACCAGUUGUGCACUUGACUGGGGUGCUCUCACUGCUGAACAUUCUAAGUCACUGCUGAAAUUCUAUGAUUUUGAAAUUAACAUUGCCUGAAAAUAGUUUACUAAUCCAUAAUUACUCAUCAUGCUAAGUUUACUAAUCCAUAAUUUCACAAAAAAACAGUGCUCGAAAAUUCAUGCUAAGCUUAUUAAUCCAUUAAAGAGAUGAACCAUAAUUACAAAUCCAAAACCAAGAAAAUUCAAAGCAAAAACCACCAGCAUAUUCCAUUAAUUUCACACAUCAUUCAAUACAAGUCACAGAAUAAAAAAGGCAUGAAUGAAAGGAAAUAUUACAUUCAAUCUUUAAGCCUUUUAAUUAAUAACUGAACCAUCUGUACGAGUACAAGUAUCAAUGUAAAUAUCUUUCCAUGUGGGCGACACUCCUUUGAUCUUUUUUUUCUAAUACCAAACAAAUAAUUUAUAACUAAUUUGUUUUAAAAAUACGAUUUACUCAAUUAAGAGUUCAAAUAUUAACAAACAUUUUCAUUGAUAAAUUUGGAGAGAUUUUUUGUAUCCAUACGAUGAAUAUCUUCAUAUUUAGCACGAUUUUGACUAUUAAUUUUACUUAAUUUCUACAACUGAUAAAACAUAAUAUAGUGAUUUUUGGAUGGUGUUAUAGUUUCCCUUCCUUGGGAACAAAAUGUGGCUCAUAGUGUGGUGAAUUAAUCUAAUAUUUGGGUGAAGGAGUCCAACAUUGAAGGGAUAUGGAACGAUGGAAGUGGGACCAAUGAGGAGUGACCGAGCAAGAGUGUCAGGGUUGAAUUCAAUACCUUGAAGAUCAAUUUGAUCAUAAUAUUUCCCUAUGAAGGAUAAAUUACAAAUUUGAGCAAAAUCUUCAAGAGAUUUGAUGACUCCGUCUGUGUAAAAGAGAUUUGCGUAGAACCAUUUUACCAAAUUUGGGUACCUUUCCCAAGGUUUCUAAACAAUAAAGUUUCUUAGCCCUGCUAUGGUGAAUCCUUCCACGGAGGAAUGGUUCUUGAAGAGAUCUCCAUCUAGACAGUGAGAGGUGAAGAUUUCUCUAUCGGAGUAGUGGAGGUUGAAGUUAGAUUCUUGGGCUUGAGAGGUGAAAUCUUCGGAGAAGUAUGAAGAUGAAGGUUGGGAAGAACAAAUUCUCUUUUGGGCCAUUUUGUAGUGAUGAUGAUGUUGAGUGAGCUAAUGAGUUUCUAAUGAGUAAGAAAAAUUAUGAGAUGAAAAGAUUGACACGUUUUCUCCUUUCAUAGGCUCUGUCUAAUUGAUUAGAAUUAUGUCCUAAUUGAUUAGAAACGGUAAAAAAAAUUAGAGUUAUCAGUUGCAAGUAUCUACUAUUGUGAUUACUACCCCAAUUAUCCAUUGUGGUGAACUCCAACAUUCGAAUAUUUGAGUUUUCAAAAUAUCUAAUCCAUUAGGCCAAAGUGCUAAUUGAUUAGAUUAGCCCAAUUCAUAAUAUCUUUGAUUUGGGCUUUGAGUUUUGCACUCAUGUUGGGCUUUAUUUACACCUCUUGCUAUAGGAUACUGAAAUGCUCAUUUUUAUGGAUUAGAAAUUAAUUUAAUUUUGAUGAGAAACAUAUUAAGAAAUAUUAUUUUAAGGUGUUAAUCAGAUUUUCCUGAUUAUUUUGACCAUAAAAUAACUUUACCUCAUUUAUCAAGAAAUCUUGAUAAAUAUUUCCCAAGAGGGAAGACACCAAAUGGUGUAUCCUCCUCUACACAUCGUUGGAUGUGAGAGUUGUUUAAGCCACAAAAAUAAAUAGUUGUUUAAGCCACACCAAGAGGGAAGACACUCAUGUUAGAUGCAUUUCAUUUGAUUUCCAUCAUCGUAUAGUCAAGUUUAUAGGUAAUAACCCAAUGUGGAGCUCUAGAGAACAAUCACACUCUACCUUUGUUGCUUUGGUGGAGUGAAUUAGACUAAUGAUUGAUCUUCCUCCUUUAUAUCCAAAGGCCCAUCCGGAACAAUUUCUCCCAAGCCUUGAUGUGACUUAACAAUGGGAAGUCUUUGAGAUAAUUGGGUCUGGAUUACCGUGUUGGGUCCAUUGUUUGGAGAAGUGAAAAGAUUUGGUAUCCCUUGUGAGUGACCUUGCAAACACGCACAUUAAAUUAUAGUAUUCUUAUUGAAAUGUCUCGCGAGAUUGUUCUUACAUGUGGUGCUUCCCUUUAGGAUGUUGAAGUGUACUCAAGUGUUAUUAUGAUAUAGAGGCAAAUCCAACCGUUAUUUUCCAUCUAUCAACUUUCCUUUAUUUAGAACCAUUGAUUUACCUGCUCCGCCCUAAUAUAUAAAGGUUACUUCCCUUUCCUAACCACAUUUCCACUCUUUGCGUAAAUCAUAAGCCCUUUUUUCCUACAAACCUCGAUUGCUUUCUCCCGAGCUUUAGUUAUUCAUGUUCUAUCUGUCUUUGUUUUCUUUUCAGGGUCAUGCAUUUUCUCGAUAUAUCUCACCCUCAAAACUAUUGUCUACUUUAAUCAUUUCUUAAAGCUUCAGCUUUUUCAGUUACCAUUUCUCUCCUUCUUUAUAGCUUAUUAAUUUUCCCUUCAUUGUUUUUGUUAUGGCUUAUAUGGGAGAUGGCCCUGCAAAUUUUCAUUACAUAUCUAGCGAUGCGAGUGACGCUUCAUCUCACACUGAAACAUUAAACCCUAAAAUUUCAAAUGUUACCUCUUUAGCAUUUAAUCAAUCCAUUGCAUACCUCAUUGUUCUCGGUGAUAAUUUUAGAUUUGGUGGUGAUUUUAUCGAAGAUGGAAACAAACCCUCGAUUUCUCAUCUUGGUGGAAAUAAAAAUGAUUUUAUCGGUCCUGCCACGGGGAAUAAUGAGGUUGGCUCAUCUUCUCUUGAUCUUGUUGAGACCCACUGAGAAAAACCAAGAACAUGUCUCCUUAUUAAUUCAUUUAAAUCUUUAAAGGGUCAGGAACCUAGUGUUAAGGAGGUUAGGGAUCAUCUCAACUUUUAGAGUCAUUCCCUCAUUCAUGAUAUGGUUCGAAAGGAUUGUCAAGGUCUUGUUAUGCUCAUUGAUUCAGCUCAUUACUAUUGCGUGGAAGCGGAGUUAGUGAGAAUAAUUUCCUUAUUCAGGAACACACAUAGCCUGGAGGAAGCUUAUAGUGAGAUGUAGAACCAUUCUCUGAUUGGUUUGUUUCACAUCUCAACCCUGUCAAAAGCACAUGUAGCUCCUUCAAGGGGUGCUUCAUGUGGAAUCUUGUUUUGCAGGUGAUAUGCUUUCAACAAGGACAUGUACUUUUAUUGAUGACAACUAAUGUAUUAUGAUACGUCAAUCAUGAACGGUUAAGCAAAUAAAGAAACCUCAUUAUUAGGAUUUUUUGGACUUGACUAUCCGAUGAUGACAAUCAAAUGAGAUGCAUCUCAAGCUACUAAAGCAUGGGUCAACAAAAAGAGAAGAAUCUGACAAAGUCUUAAAGUAAGGUAAAACGAAAUUAGUAAUGAGUAAAUGAUCAUAAGGCAAAAUGACUUUAUCGUAAAAGCACAAGGCUAAAAGCGUAGACAUUGUAAACUAUUUUCAAAAUUCAUUAUUAAAAGAAAAUAUUUUAAAAAUCAUCUAUAAGUUGUGUCAUAUAAACUGGGAGAAGUCAAAAUAGCACAUAAGUGAAUCGUUAAUAGUAGCGUUGAAAUGCUAACCUUGAAGAUUCACCAAAAAUUAUCAUAUUAAAAAUCCACUGGGCAUAAAAACUCUACUCAACCAUUUCACCCGUAUUAUGUCUUGAAUACUAACAUUUUUUUUUUGUCUUUUGUGGUAUAAAUUUGAGUAAUGGAGUUUUUCUUUAUAUAGAAAUUUAGCUAUAUUAGUAAUUCUGUAAAACGUUAAUUAAUUAAGAAAAUAUUAUUUUUGCUAUACAAUAAAAGAAUUCCUAACGGAUUCCUCAAUAAUGGAUACAAUUGUCAACUAGAACAUAUUCUAGAAUUUUUUUAUAUAAUAUUAUUACCAUGUGAUCUCUUAUUUGACAGAAUCUUUUCCUUUUUCUUAAUACCUGUAUGUAUAUGAUGCCUUUAUUAUCCUUUUGUAUCUGAUAAUUUUAAAAUUAUAUCAAAUCAAAUCAUUAAUCUUCCUAUAAAAAAGCUAAGCCAAAUUGAUUGAUAAAAUCAAACUUAUUUGAGAAUUGAAUAUUAGCAAUGGCUGGUAUUGAAGAAGUGGAGCUUUUGGGUUCUGUGGGAAGCCCGUUUGUGAUUAAGGUUCAAAUUGCUCUGAAAUUGAAGGGAAUUGAAUACAAAUAUGUGGAAGAAAAAUUGGGUAAUUUGAGUGAAACACUUCUCAAUCAUAACCCAGUUUACAGGAUGGUUCCUGUUUUGGUUCAUAAUGGAAAACCAAUCUCAGAGUCUCGUGUGAUUCUUGAGUAUAUUGAUGAGACAUGGAAGCUAAAUCCAAUCUUGCAUUCUGAUCCUUACAAAAGAGCAUUGGACCGUUUCUGGUCAAAGUUCAUAGAUGAUAAGGUAAUCAGUUUCAUUGAUUGUUUGUUUCCCUUCAUAAUAUUACUAGCAGUUGAAUAGUUUUAGCAUGGUUUUAAAUUGUGGUUGCAAAACACUCCAAACACAACCCCAACACUAACAAUUUUUUAGAGGCGUCGCUGCUACAUAGUGGUUAUAGUGAUUGUGAUUGUGAUGCUGAUGUUGAUUUUCGAGCUAGGGUCCAAAAUUCAGAAUGUGUUUCCAGGAAAAAAUGAGGCAAAAUUAGGUACGGAUUAGUCAAGAACUAACUAAACAUUCUAUAGCGAUCUAUAGUUAAUUCCAUUGUUUAUUAGCACUAAAUAUUUUGCUUGCCACUCUUGUGUUAGUUGCAAAGUACUCAUGUGAUUAGCUAUGAAUUUGUUGCUUAUUAGCUGUGAUAUUUUAAGGUCUAAGUUAGACUUUAAAUUGCGGCCGUGGAUGCAAUGCGGUUGCAGACGUGGAUUUUGCAAUUGUGGUUAUUCCGAUGCAUAUUACAAUUGUUACGUCAUAAAUUUUGAUUAAGAGGUGUAUUUCUACACCAUCGAAAAACACAUAAUUACAUCAGAAGGAAAUUGAGUUUUGGGUUCUGGAGUUUUGAUGAAUAUACAUGAAGAAACAUGGGCGUAAUUGUCUGAUGUGCUUUGCAAUGCAAAUGGAUGCGUGAUUUUAAAUGACACAAAACCUGCGGUCUGAUUUGGCUGUGGAGACUCUUGUAUCAAUAUUGUGGCCACAGUUGCAGUUGCGGAUCGCAAUUUAAAAUCAGGGAUCUUACAUGAAUCACCCAUUCUAGAACUAACUUUCCAUAUAACUCCAUUUAAACUUUAUCUGUCUUAAUUUAUUUUCUAAUACAUAUAAUUUUAAUUUGUGAAUUCAGUGUGUGGUUCCAGCAGCAAAAACUAUUUUUAUCCCUGAUGAGAACGAACAGGAGAAGGCUAGAGAAGAAUUAUUCGACGCUUUGCAGUUUCUCGAGAAUGAGCUCAAGGACAAGUUCUUUGGAGGAGAGGAGAUUGGUUUUGUGGAUAUUGCGGCUCUGUUUAUCCCUUUAUUUCAAGAAGUAGCAGAGAAACAGUUGUUCACCAGUGACAAAUUUCCCAAGCUACACAAGUGGAGUCAAGAUUUUUACAACCAUCCAGUAGUCAAGGAAAUUAUGCCAUCGAAAGAGCAACAAUAUGCGUAUUUCAAAGCUCGCGCUGCAAGCCUUGCUGCUGCGUCAAAAUAGAUUAAUAUAGAGUGAGACUCUGAACUUGUAAGGAGAUUUGUAUAAGUACUUGUCCGUGUCCUUGUGGAGUUGUUUUGUUGUUUGUAUUUCAGUUCAAAUGGAAUGUACUCUGACUUAUCAUGCGUCAUAAAUAUCCUGCAAUGUUGUUUUCAGGAAUAAUUCCUUGAAAGAAUAAUUUCCUACAUUUCAUUUUGGUACAAAAUAAUUUUCAUGAAAGAAUAGUUUCGUGUUAGAUAUGUAAUCUUUGAUCAGUUAAUCGCUGUAAGACAGUAUCGCAGUAUAACAACUGUUUGGAUGCCUCUACUUUGGUUAGGUUUAGCCAGGCUACCUUAGUGAUUAUGGGAAGGUUUUAAAUAUCAGUUGCAUUGAGGUUGCGUAAAGACUUUAAUAAUUUCGUUUGGUAGAGGUUUUGCGACACUGAUUGCAGUUGUCGCAUUCUUUGUCAUAAAAACUGUGGUUUCAUUGAAAUCGAAGAAGGAACCUCCUGUUUCCUUCUCCUCUUCCAAAGACGAAUGCUGUCCACUUACUACUGCUACUCUGUUUAAUGUUGGACCUUCAAUGUUCAAUGAUAAGCAACAAUGAUGACACAAGUGUUGGUUUCGGACACAUACAUACAUUUUUUCAGAAGAAUUGGAGUUACCAUAAUUAAGCAAUGAUGACGCAACAAAGUCAGUUAGUAAAUUAGUUAGCCUCGCCAAGAAUCAAGGGACCUUUCAUUGUCUGACACUGGCAUGACAUGAUACCAACAUGUGUGAUCAUAUUUAACUGGUAUUGGUUAAAACAUUACCACCUUUGACAUAUUAGUGUCAUUGUCGUGUCCAUGUAUGUGUGUGUUUGUACUUUAUAGCUUUUAUGUUUACUAUAUUGUUACAACUACAUCAGGAUUCUUAACCUUCAGUUAAGAUGGAUAGAUACCUUUUUCUGUAUUAAUUGAAACAUGAAAAAAUGACACUAAUAUCCAUAGAUUUUAGAUGGAGAAAUAUCAGAUGCAAACUAUGAUUUUGAUAUGAAACCUAUCUGCAAAAAUUGAAUUACAGAUAUUAUAGUUCACAAACUAGAAAUUCUGUGUCUAUUUCGAAGCAAUGAGGCUAUCAUAGUGAGCUUUGAAAUAGGCAAAAACAGGGUCUCUAGGAGGCAAACAUUGCUUAACAAUUGGAUGGUUGAGAAAUUCUUGACUCCAUUUGUAAAGCUUUGGAAACUUUUCAGCAGUCAACAAUUGCAACCCUGUUACAUCUUGAAUCAAAGGGAUCCAAAAAGCUAUGAACACAGCAGCAAUAUCCACAAAACCAAUCUCUUCUCCCCCAAAAAACUUGUCCUUCAACUCAUUCUCUAGAAACCCAAGAGAAUCAGAUGUUUCUGCAACAUUCUUCUCACGCUCUUUAUCAUCAUCAAUGAUAUGAACAGCUUUAACGGAAGCAGCCACAAUCUGAUCAUUUCAAACAUUUAAUUUUACAAUAACAAAAAUAAUCAGCUUUUUAAAACUCAGCAUUGUUACCUUUUCGUCGAUGAACUUGGACCAAAACCGAGCCAAGGCUCUUUGAUAAGGUUCAAAAGGCAAGAUAGGAUUUUGUGUCCAUGUUUCAUCAAUGUACUCAAGAAUCACAAGGGAUUCUGAUAUGGGUUUUUCAUUGUGAACAAAAACAGGAAUCUUUUUAUAAACUGGGUUGUAUUUGAGGAGAAGUUCACUUUUGUUGGCCAAGUUUUCUGGAACAAAUUUGUAUUCAAUUCCCUUCAACUCCAAAGCAAUCUGUACCCUACACACAAAUGCGCUUCCCACAGAACCCAAAAGCUUCACCUCUUCCUGAUUUGUAGCCAUUGAUGCACUUCAAUUUUCUACGACUUUAACAACUAUGUAGAAUUUUUGUUUAGGAGUUUGAGUCUUAAGAUACUUUGGAAAAUUAAUAUAAUAAGUCUCAGCCUACAUGUUGAUUAGAUUAGUAAACUGACAUCACACACAUUAUGAGAAUCCAGAUGCCGCUCUCCCUAUCAAGUGGACAAGAAGUGAUGUAAGGGAUUACACAAAAAAAAAAUA